rnacentral:lncRNA from 1 species
AGUUACCAAUUCCAUUUGAAGAUUUGAGACUUUUAAGGUUUCUCAACCUUGCUGACACUGACAUAAGAAGUUUACCCGAGUCAACAUGCAAAUUGCUGAACUUGGAAAUUUUUAUAUUAAGAAAUUGUUCCCGUUUGAUAAAGCUUCCAGCCAAAAUGAGGAAUUUGAUCAAUUUACGCCAUCUGGAUAUAAGAGGUGCGAAGUUGCUGAAGGAGAUGCCAGUCGGAAUGAAAGAGCUGAAGAAGCUUCAAACAUUGUACAAUUUCAUUGUGGGCAAGGGUGAAACUGCAUCCGGUUUGGAAGAAUUAAAAAGUUUAAACUUUCUUUGUGAUGAACUUUGCAUUGCUGGAUUAGAGAAUGUGAAUAAUCCACAGAAUGCAAGAGAAGCGGCAUUAUGCGAGAAGCACAAUCUUGAAGCACUGACUCUAGAUUGGGGGUCUCAAUUUGACAAUUCUCGAGAUGGAGUAGUAGAAGAGCAUGUACUGGAAAUUCUACAGCCUCAUAAACGUAUAAAAAAGGUGGCAAUCAGGAACUAUAGAGGUGCAAGAUUUCCACAUUGGAUAGGAGAUCCUUUGUUCUCCAAAAUAGAGUUCCUUGAAUUGGAGAACUGUGACAAUUGUGUAUCUUUGCCAUCGCUUGGCCGUUUGAGUUCACUUAAACACCUUGCUGUUAAAGGGCUGAAGAAACUAAAAAGCAUAGAGUCUAAGGUUUAUGGGGAGGGUUUCUCAAUGCCUUUUCCAUCAUUGGAGAUUCUAAGUUUCGAGAAUUUGCCAGAAUGGGAGCAUUGGGACACCGAUAUCAAAGGAAAUGUACUUGUUGAAAUAUUUCCUCGUCUCCAUAAACUUUCCAUUGUGGAAUGUCCCAAACUCUCCGGAGAACUGCCUGAUCUCCUGCCCUCCUUGGAGACACUUGUUGUUAGUAAAUGUGAAAAGUUGGUAGUUCCAUUGUCUUGCUAUCCGAUGCUCUGCAGAUUAGAAGUUGAUGAGUGCAAGGAACUAGCGUGCGCGACUCCAAUUGAUUUUAAGUUGAUAAAGUCUGUGACUAUUUCAAAUUGUUCACUAGACAUGUAUGGAUGCAAGGGGAUGCUAUACAAUGGUCCAGCUGGCUCUUCACUGCCGAAAUCCAUGACUAUUACAAAUGUUUUGGCGUUUGGAAAAUUAUUGAAGCCUGAAUUUCAGAUAUUAGAAACUUUGGUAAUUGACAAUUCUGAACAGCUCAUGUCAUGGAGGCAGCGUGGGAAUUUCCGAGAAGAAUAUUUGGCCGUUCGCCGAAGGCUUAUCAAACCAUUACAAGGGCUAAAUAUGCUCGCUUCCCCAGAAGAGGUAACAAUUGAAGAAAGUUGUGUGAGUUUUGUUUUAUUUUCAGAGAUCAAUUUCUUUCCCAGAAAUCUGCGCUCUCUUCUAAUUUGCAGCAGCACAGCUUUAAAAUCCUUACCCGAUGAAAUGAUGGACAACAGUUCACAACUCAAAAGGUUGUAUAUCAGAGAUUGCGAUUCUCUAACAUUCAUCACAAGACGCAAGCUACCUUCAUCUCUAAAAAGUAUAGAGAUUCAGAAUUGUGAGAAACUGCGACAUUUGUUCGAUGAUAAAGAGGAUGCUUCUUCUUCUUCUCCUCCUUCAUCCUCGCCCUCCCCAGUGAUGCUGAAACACCUGAGUAUAAAUAAUUGCCCAGAGCUCACCAGUUUAUCAACAGGAAUCCAAUUACUUGAGGCGCUUGAACACCUCGACAUACGGGAUUGUCGAAAGCUGGAGUCAUUACCAGAUGGCCUUCACAAUCUUAACUGUUUACAGGAGAUUACUCUAAACAGUUGUCCAAGUCUUCUUAGAGGGCUUCCCAACACGAUUUCAAGGGUUGACAUUUACAGCUGUCCAAGUCUUGUUUCCUUCCCAGAAAGAGGACUUCCCAACACGAUUUCAAAGGUUGACAUUUUUAAUUGUGAGAAGCUCGAAGCCCUGCCCAAUGACAUGCACAAACUCAACUCUCUUCGAGAUUUAAGCAUAUUGGGGUGUCGAAAUCUUGUAUCCUUUCCAGAAGAAGGUUUUCCUACCAGUCUAACAUCACUUAGAAUUGGAGAUUUCAAAAUGUAUAAGACACUCAUCCAGUGGGGGUUGCACAGGCUUACCUCUCUUAGACGCCUCUAUAUCGUUGAUUGUGAUGACGAAGCAGAGUGUUUUCCAGACGAGGAGAUAGGAACGAUGCUGCCUACCUCCCUAACUCAUCUAUCCUUUCGGGGAUUCCGAAAUUUGAUAUCUCUGUCUUCGACGGGUUUUCAGAGCCUCAACUCUCUUCAAUACUUGUGGAUCAGGGAUUGCCCGAAUCUCACAUCAUUCCCAGAGGUGGGCCUUCCAUCCUCACUUUUGGCAUUAUGCAUUAUCGAUUGUCCAAAGCUUAAAAAAGCGUGCAAAAGAGAUCAAGGAAAAGAGUGGUCCAAAAUUGCUCACAUCCCUCGCAUUGACAUAGACAGGAAAUUCAUAUACGAUCCAGAAUCAGAGGAGUAGAUUCUACUAUUAAGGUCAGUUGAUUUGUAUUAUCCGCCAUAACAAGCUCCUCCUUUUUUUUUAAAUAAUAAUAAUAAUUCUUACCAAUUAAUGAUGGUAAGAUGUGUACUUAUUCUUUCUUCCGGACAACCUUGCCUUCUUUCUUCGGUAGCAUAUCUAAUGAAUAUUUCUCUGUUUAGUUAAGGAUGAAUGCUUGGAGUGGAGUAUUUGGUAACAUUUCUGCCGUAGAUGAAACCUUGAAGAAAUGCCUGCACUUCCUGAGACCAAAUACAGGUCUGAUUCACAACAACACCUGUCCCAGAAAAUAUGAUACAAGCCAAAGCCAUGUUCUGAAGCAGAAAUAACGCAUUUCAAUUUUUAUCUGGUAAAAAUACACAGCCCUCGCCUACAAAAUUCUUAUCUUGGCUUUCACGGAUAUUUUUAUCACGUAACCACGUGAGGAAGCAUGUGCUGGAGCCUGAAUUCAGUUAGUUAAAGUUUGUUAACCACGUGUCAACAAACUGUAUAAUCUGGAAAAUACGCUAGCUAUUGAAACAGGGUAUAAAGGCUGGUUUUUCAGGGACUAUCGAGAGCUGAUUCUAGAGUCUUGUAGAAAGAGGUUUGUGAGAGAGAAAGUGUCAUCUUGUUCUCUGUAAAAUCCGAUAUAGGGCUCUGUAACGAUCUCCAUUGUUGAAUCAAUAAAACUCAUCUAGAAGCUUCUCCCGUGGACGUAUUCUGAGCAUUCAAUGCACAGCUGAACCACGUAAUAUCUUGGUUUCAGUGGGUUCUUGUUUUGGUUCUUGAUAAAUUCUUGUUGUUGUAUUGAGGUGUGAUUUGAUGUGUCUAAACUUGCAUCUGUGCAACUUGAAUUGAUUUGAUGAUAAUAAUCUUGGGCAGUGAUCAGAUUCGUUUAGUUUAAAGAACAAGCUGAUUACUACCGUACCUAUGCAUGGACCUGUAACCUGUGCUGACAAAACUGAAACUAUGAGUUUGAGGUAAAAAGGUCCUGGACCCUCACAGUUUAACUUGGACUUGUAGCUUUCUGGAUAAACACAUUUUAGAAGUUUGCAAUUUGUUGUUAAUUACGGUAUGUGAUUUUCUUUUUUGUUUUCGCUUUUGUAGAAUCUACCGUAUUACAUAUUGGCAGUUGUAUCUGAGGUACCAUUUUUGCAUUUAACUUGCCUUUAUCUGUUUUGCCUGUUACUUAACAACACAUCAUUUCCCAAAGAUUUGGAGAAGCAUCUCAAGAUGCUUAACAAACUUGACAAACUUCAAGAUGCUCCCAAGCCUUGAUUCUUCACAAAGGAAGACCUGUGAGUACACUUAUGCCCGCAAUUAUUGUGAAGUGAUUGCAACUUUGAUGCAGCGAAACGGUUUGCUGGUGCAAAGCUUUAAAACUGUUAAGAAUUACCCUGCAGGCUUGUUGGAUGUUGUAUACUCCGAAAGCCACCAACACCAAGAACUAUAACAGCAAGACUAGGUUUGCAUUAAUUCAAUUAGCUGAAAUAAUGAUGCAAAUGGCACUAUCCAGCUCGACUUAGAGACUAGUCAGGUCAAUCAUCCAUUUCAUCAACAGUUAAUGUCAGGAUGGUGGCUAGCAGAGGAAACAAAGGAUAUGUUGGAAUCAAUAAGAACAGUGAGAAGCAUGAGAGGAGCUUUGAUUAUAAGUAGGCUCAAUGAACUAGUGUUGGUAAGUGGUAAUUAGAGCAAUUUGUGAGCUUAGUAGAGUUUCAAUAUUUUCUGUUUGGGAUAUAGUUGAUAAGUUGAUACUCUGAUAAAGAAGGCUGAUUAUAGUAGCUGACUAUAUUAACCGGGUUCUCUUUUUUGGUUUGCUGUUGUUUUUUCUUUCAAUAUCUUUUUCAACAUUAGGUUUAAGAACAAGCUUGGGUUUGAUUAUCAGGUAAGAACAAAUGAAUGCUUUAACCAUGUUUCUCACUUAUCACAAUGCACGGAUUGAAGGCGUCUGAGUUGAUCCUGAAACGUGCCUCAGCAAGUAUUAUGAUUAUUAUUUUAAAAAACUCAACCUAAGCAACGUGCCUCAGCAUACAAUAUUUAUUGACAACUAAAAAGUAAUAGUGGGUGGGGGUUGCCCUGGGUUUUGUUUAAAAAUUGAAGUAAAAAAUUUUCAAAUUUCAAAUUUCUAGUACAAAGAAAAUUGAUGACUAAAUUAAAUUCUGCAAAUUAAUUUCUAAUAUUACAUGAAAAUAUUAUCAAGUUAACUGGUAACAUCGUUAAUCACUUAAUUCUCAGUCUAAUACGUUAUGUAUUUGUUACUCUGUCUUAAAUCAAAAGUGGCGGUGAUUUAUUUUUAUUUUCACUAAUCAGAAAGGCAUGUUAGAGCUUUUAUUUUGUCGAAAAUGAACCAAAAAAACUCCGAUUGGGAGAUUAUAAAUGUAAUUAACAAUAAUUUAACUUCCAUUUUGAAAGUCAUUAUAUUGUUUAUUCAGGAGAAGCGUUCUUUUAUAUUUUAUAGAUAUAAUGUUUGCUAAUCCUAAUUUAAGCUAAAGCAUAUGCAUUUCCUAAUUAAUUCUAAUUUAAGCUUAUUCAACUGCAUUCAAUUAAUGUUCGAUAAUACAAAUUCUAAAUACUAUAUACUCUAAGAAUUUUAAUCGUAAUGACAAGGUGAUCAUUUAAUUAUUACCGUUAAAUUAUAUAUGUAUGGUGGAGACGAGUCCACACGGUUUUGACGAGAAAUUAAAGACAAUAUUUAGUUAAGCUAGUAGUAUUUGUUCUGUUUAGUACGUCGUUUUACCAGCAAGCAUCCCGGCAAUGCACGCAUUAAUAAAAACAUUUAUCUGUUUGGACUGACUGGUAGUGAAAAAUUCCACAUACUUUAAAUCAAGAAAAUGCUAAGCAUCUUAAAGAAAACAAUUAAAAUAUUGUCACUUGAUGCUUGAAUCAUUAUUGUUAAAUAUCUCCGUUGAGUUGUAUUCCCCAGUUGUGAGUAUCAUUAUUGUUGUUUGUGCGAUAUGUUUCGACGAAGACCAGCAGUGAUGAGCAGGCGUCUGGUAGCAGGGUUCCUCGAACAGGUAUAUCUUGCAAGAGUCUGGUAGCAGGGGGAGCAAGAGCAGGAGUAUCCUGCUCGUCCACGAGUACGUCAUCCACGAGGCCGGUCUCCUGUUGGGAGCGUAAAGCCAUUCCUGCUAUAUUCCUGCUAGCGGUUGAGUCGAGGAGACCCGGUCAACGACAGUUGACGAGACAUGCUCUCCAGUCCGAGAAUCAAGGCGCGAAGGCCACGCAACCACCCACGACUACGGAAAUGGAGCAUCCACUUUCGAGAAGUGGGAGGAUGACAAGCGCAAAGGGAGGAAAUGCAUGGGCUCAGAAGUGGCCUAUAAAAAGGUAACCAACGAAGGUAAAAGGGUUAGCAAUUUUGAGAUUAUAACAGAGACUAAGGAAAUUCUAAAGAAGAGAAAACUAUUAAAAAGCCAUAAGAUCUGUGGCAAGCGUUCCCAGAGCCUUCAUAUCUGACUUGAGCGUCGGAGGGUUUACGCCGGGAAAACAACCGGCGUGCUCUGACUUGUUUCUGUGGACGCAGGAAUACUUGGAGAAGAAAGCAUACAAGGAGAGAUCCUGGUCGAGGUGAGGUUGAUUGAGCAGAUAUCCUGGUCGUAGGAAGAGCGUAACCAGAAUCUCGCAUCAAUAUUUUGGCGCCGUCUGUGGGGAGCUGAGCAAAAAGUUUCUGUUGAUAGCAAAGAAGAGGAGUGAAGCAAGUGAAAAGCAAUGGAGACAGGAGGAAGUAGUGCACAAGGGGGUGAUAUGAGGCUUAACGAUUCCGUGACGCUGAGGGAGAUAGCCAGUGAAGCACGGGAAAAAGCCAUGUUCGACCGGAUGGAACGGAUGGAAAAGCAGAUGGAGACCUUGACAACCAUCCUACAUGAGCUGCGGAGCGAACGAAGGGUAACCCAGGAGGAAAGGGUGAGAGGUGGUGGAGUGGCACCAGGUCCCGAUAGUGCGAGGAGAAGUCAAACCACCGGGAGAUUUGGUGGUGAGAGAGGUAACAUACCUCUGCAGGGAAAUUGCAUAGAGAGGAAGAGCAGUCCCCGGCAAGACAGAUUUUUGACGAGGACGACGGGGUGGCGAAUGCAGAGGAAGCAGAGUUGAGGCAAUACUUGCAUGAUGUAGUGCAAGAGCGGGAUCAAGUCGCAGCACGUGACCCUGGUCGUGCAGAGCAGCUGGAGGAGGAAGUGUGCAGGCUAGCGCAGAUAAUUGACGACAUACAAGGAAGGAGCAGAGCUCCUGGUUGGAGGAUAAUGCUGGACGGAGAAUCACCGCUCGCAGCAGAGAUCAUGAGGGCAGUUAUUCCAAGAGAUUUCCGCCUCCCAGACCUUAGAUAUUCGGGAUGAACUGAUCCGCUGGUGCACAUAGAGCGCUUCAACGACAUAACUGGGGUACAAGGAUUAUCUCAAUCCUAAAGGUGCAGGGUGUUCCCACUAUCCCUUGAGGGACGCGCACGAGAGUGGUACAGGAAACUUCCUCGGGGGAGCAUUAAAACCUUCGAGCAGAUGUGCCAGGAAUUUGCAGAACAGUUCCGUGGGGCAAUGGCACCAGAAGAUGACAUGAUGGAGUUGAAAAACAUGAAGCAGGGGGAACAAGAAACACUUCGGGAAUUCAUCAAGAGGUUUCACCGUGCUGUCCUCGACUUGGGAGCCUUCAACCACCCUCAAACGUUAAGGGGAUUGAAAGAAGGGGUGAAGAUAGGAAGGCUGUGGUACAACUUGAGAAGCCCAGUUAUUCAGACGUAUGCGGCCGCAUACGAGCAGGCUAAGAGAGACAUUGAGAUUGAAGAGGAGAAGGCAGCACAGAUUAAGACAGACCAGUUAGAAGGGUGGGGGAGGAAAGAGAAGAAAGCAUUACCGGGGAAUGGGCCGAUCAGGAGGAGGAACCACCAGGCCUCGAGUAGUGGAGCAGAAGGUCGGGUAACUGCUUACCAGCCUCAUCAGAGGCCACUACAGUAUCAGCACAGCAGGGCGCAACCUCCUCGUUCCCCAGCUGGGGAGCCUUGGAGAAGGCAUGACUCGGCGUAUGGUGGUCUUCAUCAACACUCCCACGGUAGUAGAAGGGGCAGACCAGAAGCGCUGCCACCGCCUCCAACUCAGAACGGAGCAAAUAGAGAAAGGGCAGUGCACCUGAUCGACCAGAACCAGGACUAUGGGCGAUAUACUUCCUUGAAGAUGUCCCUGGCCGAGGUGUACGAGGCCAUAAAGGAUCGAGGGUCGUUAUACCUCCCUGCCCCAAUAACAAAGCUACCCAGCAGGAGGGAUAGGGGACGCUAUUGUAAGUUCCAUGGCACUCAUGGCCACACCACAGCAGAUUACAGGGAUCUCAAGACCCAGGUUGAAGAUUUGGUGAGAAAUCGGUAUCUGGACGAGUUUAUAGAUGGGACCUUCCCAAUGGUAGCCUCGACCAGCGAAUGGGAGCAGAGUGACAGGAACUUGAGGCGCGAGCAGCCUGCAGUAAGGGUGAUAGCUGGGGGCCCAACAUUGGCCGGAGAUUCCAACAGGUUGAGGAAGAAUUACGCUAGAUACGCCAUGACCAGCAAAGAUGUAUUCUUCACCACCCCAGCAGCCAAACGUGCAAGAGUCAGGCAAGUGCCAAUUAUGUGGACAGAUGAGGAUGAAGAAGGGAUUCUAUACCCCCACGAGGAUGCUUUGGUCAUCAAGGCCACUGUUGCCAGCAAGAAGUUUGACAGGAUACUGGUUGACACAGGGAGCUCAGUUGAUGUGUUGUUUAAGUCAACCCUGGAGGAGAUGGGAAUAGCAGACCUGAAGUUGGAUUACACCAAUACCUCCUUGAAGGGGUUUGGAGGAGGAAAGUUGGUCCCUCUGGGCGUGGUCGAGCUGCCUAUCACGAUUGGGAGCUCCCCGACAGAAGGGACAAUGAUACUGGACUUUGUGGUAGUGGAUGAGGAAGGUCCUUAUCAGAUGAUCCUAGGCCGGCCAUUUCUGACGAUGAGCAAAGCGGUGCUGUCCAGCCAUUAUCUGGCUCUCAAGUACCGGGUGAAUGGGGUAGUUGGAGUGGUACGAGGAGACCAGAGGAUCGCAAGAAGCUGCUACUCCUCGGCAGCAAAGGAAGCAAUGCAGAUAACAUCCCUUGAUACCCGAGUGGAAGCCAGGAAUGGCAGCUAGUUGGACCCGGAGUUUACAAGCUGGUUCGCACGGAUGGCCACAAGGUGAAACGCCCAUGGAGCGCGACACACCUCAGGAAAUAUUUCUAGUAAGACUUACUCAUCUUUUAAAGUUAUUUCUGUUCGUGCCCGUUGUUUUCUAUUUUUCAUUUCUUAUUUCAAAGCAAUCUCAUGUAAGCCGAAUUCAAUAAUAAAUGAAUCAAUGAGGAGUUUCAGUCAACUACACUGUUCAAGAAAUUAUCAAAGGCAUGCAAAGGCUAGUCAAGUCUCAAAGCCUGUUUAUGGCGAGACCAGAAGCCAAGCGUGCCAGGAUCUGCUCGACCACGAGAAGGCGAGCAGAGUCCCAAGCUUUCAAGAAAUUAUCAAUGGCAUGCAAAGGCUCACCAAGUCUCAAAGCCUGUUUAUGGCGAGACCAGAAGCCAAGCGUACCAGGAUCUGCUUGACCACGAGAAGGCGAGCAGAGUCCCAAGCUUUCAAGAAAUUAUCAAAGGCAUGCAAAGGCUCACCAAGUCUCAAAGCCGGUUUAUGACGAGACCAGAAGCCAAGCGUUCCAGGAUCUGCUCGACCACGAGAAGGCGAGCAGAGUCCCAAGCUUUCAAGAAAUUAUCAAAGGCAUGCAAAGGCUCACCAAGUUUCAAAGCCUGUUUAUGACGAGACCAGAAGCCAAGCGUGCCAGGAUCUGCUCGACCACGAGAAGGCGAGCAGAGUCCCAAGCUUUCAAGAAAUUAUCAAAGGCAUGCAAAGGCUCACCAAGUCUCAAAGCCUGUUUAUGGCGAGACCAGAAGCCAAACGUGCCAGGAUCUGCUUGACCACGAGAAGGCGAGCAGAGUCCCAAGCUUUCAAGAAAUUAUCUAAGGCAUGCAAAGGCUCGCCAAGUCUCAAAGCCUGUUUUAUGGCGAGAUAGAAGCCAAGCGUACCAGGAUCUGCUCGACCACGUGAAGGUGAGCAGAAUCCCCAAGCAUCGGAAUAUUUUCCAAGGCAUGCAAAGGCUCGCCAAGUCUCAAAGCCUGUUUUAUGGCGAGACAGAAGCCAAGCAUGCCAGGAUCUGCUCGACCGCGCGAAGGCGAGCAGAAUCUCAAGCAUUGAAGAAUUUUCCAAGGCAUGUGGCAAAACCAUAUGCCGAGCCAGAACCUGCUAAACUAGACGAAGACGAGCAGAUUCUCAGACGAAAAAUAACUCAUGAUUACAACACAAGAAAGUAAUCAAAAACAUUUUUAUUAAUUUGUUAAUAAUUAACAGAGGAGAUAAUCUUCACAAACAUUGUUCAUUACAAUACAAGAAAUAUAUUAAGAGGACGGUGGAUCCGUAAGCCGAGCAGCCUCAGUCGGUUGGUCCACCUCAGGUGCUGGGGGAGUAUCACCGGUCGCGUCCGGGGGGGUGCUUGCCUCACCCACAUCAACAGGAACGGCACGAGGAGGAGAGUUUUCCUCAACUACGAUUGGUUCCACCGUUUCGGCAUCUUCCUUUGCAGCCUCCUCGUCCAUAUGUUGGGCGACACCAGUUGCAAGGUCGUCCAUCUUCAGAUCAGGAUGCUGCUUCCCGAGGACGACCAUGAUGCAACGAUAGGAAUGCCGAAGCCCCUAGUCGUACUGGUUGUCGGCCUCCCUCUCCAAGUUCUCGACCUGAGCUCGGUGGGAAUCGCGGAGAGAUUCGAGCUGAGCCUCAUAUAUAGCCUUCUGCCUUUGCAGAUCCUCCUCGACCUUGGUCAGCUCCUCCUCGAGGGUAAUGGCUUUUGCUUGAGCAAGAGAUUCUUGCUCUAUCAGCUUGAGGUUCUCAACAUUCAGCUCCCCUGCUUUCUUCUCGGCAGCGUCAGCUCUGGUCGUCGCCGAUUGAAUGUCCUCCUUAAUCUUGCGGUCGUAGCGGCCAACCUUCGCCUUGUAAUAGGUGGUCAUGCAGCUGAGGUAGAAAGCGCUAUACUGCAUGGCCCCCACCAGCUCACCCAAGGUGCAGCCGUCAAAGUCCUCCAGGUCCUUCUUGCUCACGAGUUUAGAUAACUCAUUGAGGUAGGGGACCAAGUGUUCUGCUUGGCUGUCAGGUAAGCGAGAUCGAGGCCCGACAGGAGGAGAAGAGGAAGCAGGAUCCGUGGCUGCUCCACUAGUUUCCCCAACUUUGGCAGGAGCAGGAGGUAAAGUCUUCAAGGGAGAGACUUGCUGUACGAUGUUGGCCUGCUUUGCAGAAGGGGCGUCCUUGUUCUGGUCCCUCUUCGUGGCUUGAGGUUGAGAACGUUUCCUGUUCAGAGCCCCAAUCACAGCGUCCUCCAUCUUAUGGCCAGGGAGUACCAAGCGAGACUCGAGCAAGUUGUAAACAGUUAUCAAUUCUCGGCUCGGGCAAGAGUUGGCUAGUAUAGCCUCGACCCGUUUGAGCUGAUCAGGUUGGAGCGAGAAGUGAACACCCCAAGAACCUGCAACACAAACAAACAUUUGAUUAGAGACAAACCAGUAAAGUGCAAACAACAAGGGAGACAAGACAUCUAAUACGAGCAGGCAACCUGGGACCAUGAAACGGGGUGGGACGCGACAAUCCUUCCCGUCUAUUUGUGCAACUUGACCCCAAGGACCCCCAGCAAAAAAGAAUUUCCUCUUCCAAGUCCCACCACCACCAGUUGGAAGAUCAGUUAUGGGUUUCUUGCUCUUGGUACUAGAUUGGAAGUAGUACCAGCCGGCAUCUUUGGGGCUGCUCUUUAGCUGGUACAGGUGCUUCACCUCAUCAACCGUGGGCUCGCUUUGGCAACAUCUGUCCCACAAUAUGAACAGACCAGAGAGCACCCUCCACCCAUUGGGGUUCAGUUGACCAGGAGCUAGAUUGAGCCCGUGGAGUAUGCGAGCAAAAUAGGGUUGCAAGGGGCACCUUAACCCGUACUUAAAACUCUCCUGGAACAAGGUGACAUAUCCCCUAGGAGGCCUGCUAGGACUAUCUUUUUUUCCUGGGAUCCUAAGGAGUACUUCACCAGGAAUAUGAUACCUGAGCCAGAGGUCAUCCAGCUCGUUGAAUGUGGUCGUGCAGGUCAUGUAAUCAAUAGCAUAAUCCCGCAACAAGGCUCUACCUCCUACUGUACUACGCCCUUCUGGUCGCAGUGUUCCCGGUGAAGAUCCCUCACCAGAGUCACCUCCUUGAUCCUCACUUAGGGUGUCUUCCGAGCCAGAAGGUCCUUCCUCGCCACUACUUCCGCUCGUGGAGGUUGUUUGGGGGGACAUCCUCCUAGCGCUAGUCCCGACACUAGACCUAGUGGGCUCUAAGGGGAUCCCGGGGUCAAAAGCAGAAUCAGUGAGCAGACUAGGCAAGAAACCUAGUUCGUCGUCAUCAGUCUCAAUGACUUUCUCCUUACCCUUCGACAUUCCCUAAGUUCUAACCAAAACACCACCACCGACUACAACCCCAAGUAAAGCAAAGAGAAAAGAAAUUAUCUACAACUAUCCGAGACCGAGGAGAUAGAAGUAAUACCUGAAGUAAUGGUUCAGUUAGAGAAAGGCAGGGGAGGAGACUUUUAUGCCGAGACUUCUUUGCCGGAGAGACAGAGACAGAGAUGGAGUAAAUGACGAAUUUUCCCUUUGAGAGGUUUUGGGUUUUCCUAAUGGAGAAUGAACUUUUGGAUUGCCAGCAUUUAAUAGCAUCGAAUCCCAAGGGUCUCGUAACCGUCGGUUUAAAAUUCAAAUAGAUGGGUAGAUUUCUGCCACAUCACCUGGUCCACAAUUAAAUGCGACACGACUCUUGGCAGCCUUUUCCUAUCCCGCGCGAGCAAGAACUGUCGAGUUUCUACUGUUGGCUCACUACGCUACCCAACACAAGAAACUGGGGGACUGGUGUUUGUGCGAUAUGUUUCGACGAAGACUAGCAGUGAUGAGCAGGCGUCUGGUAGCAGGGUUCCUCGAACAGGUAUAUCUUGCAAGAGUCUGGUAGCCGGGGGAGCAAGAGCAGGAGUAUCCUGCUCGUCCACGAGUACGUCAUCCACGAGGCCGGUCUCCUGUUGGGAGCGUAAAGCCAUUCCUGCUAUAUUUCUGCUAGCGGUUGAGUCGAGGAGACCCGGUCAACGACAGUUGAUGAGACAUGCUCUUCAGUUCGAGAAUCAAGGCGCGAAGGCCACGCAACCACCCACGACUACGGAAAUGGAGCAUCCACUUUCGAGAAGUGGGAGGAUGACAAGCGCAAAGGGAGGAAAUGCAUGGGCUCAGAAGUGGCCUAUAAAAAGGUAACCAACGAAGGUAAAAGGGUUAGCAAUUUUGAGAUUAUAACAGAGACUAAGGAAAUUCUAAAGAAGAGAAAACUAUUAAAAAGCCAUAAGAUCUGUGGCAAGCGUUCCCAGAGCCUUCAUAUCUGACUUGAGCGUCGGAGGGUUUACGCCGGGAAAACAACCGGCGUGCUCUGACUUGUUUCUGUGGACGCAGGAAUACUUGGAGAAGAAAGCAUACGAGGAGAGAUCCUGGUCGAGGUGAGGUUGAUCGAGCAGAUAUCCUGGUCGUAGGAAGAGCGUAACCAGAAUCUCGCAUCAACAAUUGUCUUUGCUCUCUAAUCUAUUCAAUUUUCUUUCUGGAGACAAGAUUUUGAUUCCUUUCAUCGUUACAAAAACGGAACCAUGGUUGAUGUGGGAGAGAUCUUACUCAACGCCUUCUUUUAGGUGAUGUUCGACAGGUUGGCUUCCCGUGAUUUGCUCAGCUUUGUCCGUCAACUUGGAGGGGGGGUCGAUUCCGAGCUCAAGAAGUGGGAAAGAAAGCUGAAGAUGAUUCAGGCGGUGCUCAACGAUGCAGAGGAGAAGCAACUGACGGACGAGGCUGUGAAGAUGUGGCUGGACGAUCUCCAAGACUUGGCUUAUGACGCUGAGGACAUUCUUGAUGAGUUUGCUACUCAAGCUUUGGAAAGCAAGUUGAUGGCGCAAAAUCAGGAUAGCUCUGGCCAACUUCUCAGUUUCAUCCAGGCUAGUUUGAAUCCGAAUGCUAUUAUGUUCAAUUAUAGCAUGGGGUCCAAGAUUAAAGAUAUCACUAGCCGGCUGGAGCAACUCUGCCAAGAAAGAAUUGAACUUGGACUGCAACGGAUUACUGGAGGGGCAUCAUCAACUACUGCUGCUGCACACCAGAGGCUACCCGGUUCAAUUGUCCCAACAGAACGUGAAGUAUUUGGAAGAGAAGAAGAUAAGGCCAAAAUUCUUGAUAUGGUAUUGGCCGAUACCCUAAGUGAUCAUGCCAACUUUGCUGUAAUACCCGUUGUUGGCAUGGGCGGGAUAGGAAAAACAACUCUCGCUCGGGAGGUUUACAAUGACAAGGCCGUUGGCGGUUCCAAGUUUGAUGUAAAAGCAUGGGUUUGCGUAUCUGAUGUCUUUGAUGUUUUGGGCAUCUCAAAGGCACUUCUCGAGUCAAUCACCCGCAGGCCUUGUCUUCUAAACAGUUUAAAUGAAGUGCAGGUUGAAUUGAAAGUAGCUGUGGAUAAAAAAAGAUUCUUGCUGGUCUUAGAUGAUGUUUGGAACGAGGACUACAGCUUGUGGGUAGACUUAAAAGCUCCGUUCCUGGCUGCUGCACCAAACAGUAAGAUGAUCGUCACCACACGCAAUUCAAAUGUUGCAUCAACAAUGGGACCAAUUGAACAUUACAAUCUCAAGAGUUUGUCAGAUGAUGAUUGUUGGUCCAUUUUCAUAAAGCAUGCAUUUGAAUAUAGAGAUCUUAACGCACAUCAAAUUUCAGAAUCGUUCCGCGGGAAAGUUGUUGCCAAGUGUGGAGGCUUGGCCCUGGCAGCAAAAACACUCGGAGGCCUUCUGCAUACGACGAGGCAUGAUGCGUGGGAUGAUACGUUAGAGAGCAAAAUAUGGGAUUUACCUCAACAAAGUGGGGUUCUCCCCGUAUUAAGAUUGAGUUACCAUCAUCUUCCUUCUCAUUUGAAAAGAUGUUUUGCUUACUGUGCAAUCUUUCCAAAAGAUUAUGAAUUCAAUCAGAAGGAGCUGACUUUCUUAUGGAUGGCUGGAGGAAUUAUUCGACAGUCACGAAACAGUGAGCAGCUGGAAGAUUUGGGCAGCAAGUGCUUUCAAGAUCUAGUGUCAAGGUCUAUUUUUCAACAAACCAGCUCUGGUAGUUCUAAAUUUGUAAUGCCCUAUCUUAUCCAUGAUCUUGCUGAAUUGGUUUCUAGAGGGACCAUUUUCAAGUUAGAGGAGUCCACCAACUUGUCGUCGAGGAGAUUUGAAAGAGUUCGCCAUUCUUCCUAUGCCCGCGGUUGGCAUGACGGUAAAAAUAAGUUUGAGGUUUUCUAUGAAAUUGAACAUCUACUAACAUUCUUGCCAUCACGCAUAAGAGGUGGCACUAAUACGAGUUACAUAACUCGAACGGUUCUAUCUGAUUUGUUGCUGAAUUUCAAAAGUUUGAGGAUGUUAUCUUUACAAGGAUACUGUAUUGGUGAGUUACCAAUUUCAUUUGAAGAUUUGAGACUUUUAAGGUUUCUCAACCUUGCUUACACUGACAUAAGAAGUUAUCUGAGUCAACAUGCAAAUUGCUGAACUUGGAAAUUUUGAUAUUAAGAAAUUGUUCUCGUUUGAUAAAGCUUCCACCCAAAAUGAGGAAUUUGAUCAAUUUACGCCAUCUCGAUAUAAGAGGUGCGAAGUUGCUGAAGGAGAUGCCAUUCGGAAUGAAAGAGUUGAAGAAGCUUCAAACAUUGUCCAAUUUUAUUGUGGGCAAGGGUGAAACUGCAUCUUGUUUGGAAGAUUUAAAAUGUUUAAACUUUCUUUGUGAUAAACUUUGCAUUGCUGGAUUAGAGAAUGUUAAUAAUCCACAGAAUGCAAGAGAAGCCGCAUUAUGUGAGAAACACAAUCUUGAAGCAUUGACUCUGGAUUAGGGGUUUCAAUUUGACAAUUCCUGAGGAGUAGUAGAAGAGCAUGUACUGGAAAAUCUACAGCCUCAUAAAUGUAUAAAAAAGGUGGCGAUCCGGAACUAUGGUGGUGCAAGAUUUCCCCUUUGGAUAGGAGAUCCUUUGUUCUCCAGGAUAGAGCUCCUAAAAUUGGAGAACUGUGACAAUUGUGUAUCUUUGCCAUCGCUUGGCCUAUUGAGUUCACUUAGACGGCUUGCUGUUAAAGGGCUGAAUAAACUAAAAAGCAUAGGGUCUGAGGUUUAUGGGGAGGGUUUCUCAAUGCCUUUUCCAUCAUUGGAGAUUCUAAGUUUCGAGAAUUUGCCAGAAUGGGAGCAUUGGGACACCGAUGUCAAAGGAAAUGUGCUUGUUGAAAUAUUUCCUCGUCUCCAUCAACUUUCCAUUGUGGAAUGUCCCAAACUCUCGGGAGAACUGCCUGAGCUCCUGCCCUCCUUGGAGACACUUUUUGUUAGUAAAUGUGAAAAGUUGGUAGUUCCAUUGUCUUGCUAUCCGAUGCUCUGCAGAUUAGAAGUUGAUGAGUGCAAGGAACUAGCAUGCGGGACUCCAAUUGAUUUUAAGUUGAUAACGUCUGUGACUAUUUCAAAUAGUUCCUUAGACAUGAAUGGAUGCAAGGGGAUGCUAUACGAUGGUCCAGCUGGCUCUUCACUACCAAAGCCUAUGAUUACUACAAAUGUUUCGGAGUUUGGAAAAUUAUUGAAGCCUGGAUUUCAGAUAUUAGAAACUUUGGUAAUUGCCAAUUCUGAACAGCUCAAGUCAUGGAGGCAGAAUGGGGAUUUUCCGGAAAAAUACACGGCCCCUGAACAUAGGUUUAAGAAACCAGUACGAGGGCUGAAUAUGCUCGCUUCCCCUGAAGAGGUAACAAUUGAAGAAAGUUGCGUACGUCUUGUUUUGUUUCCAGAGAUCAAUUUCUUUCCCAGAAAUCUGCGCUCUCUUCUAAUUAACAACAACACUGCUUUCAAAUCCUUACCCGAGGAAAUGAUGGAAAACAAUUCACAACUCGAAAGGUUGUAUAUCAGAGAUUGCGACUCUCUAACAUUCAUCGCAAGACGGAGGCUACCAGCAUCUCUUAAAAGGCUUGAGAUAGAAAAUUGUGAGAAAUUGCAACGUCUGUUCGAUGAUGAAGAGGAUGCUUCUUCUUCUUCACCUUCACCCUCGUCUUCCCCAGUGAUGCUGCAACACCUGAGUAUAGAGAACUGCCCAGAGCUCACCAGUUUAUCAUCGGGUGUCCAAUUCCUUGAGGCGCUUGAAGACCUCGACAUACAGGGUUGUCCAAAGCUGGAGUCAUUACCGGAUGGCCUGCCCAAUCUUAAAUGUUUACAGAGCAUUUAUAUACGGGGAUGUCCAAGUCUUGUUUCCUUCCCAGAAAGAGGGCUUCCCAACACGAUUUCAAGGGUUGACAUUUGCAGUUGUGACAAGCUCAAAGCCUUGCCCAAUGAUUUGCACAAACUCAACUCUCUUCGAGAUUUAAGAAUACGGCUGUGUCGAAAUCUUGUAUCGUUUCCAGAAGAAGGUUUUCCUACCAAUCUAACAUCACUUACAAUUGGAAAUUUCAAAAUGUAUAAGACACUCGUCCAGUGGGGGUUGCACGGGCUUACCUCUCUUAAACGCCUCUCGAUCAGUGGAUGUCAUGAAGCAGAGUGUUUUCCAGACGAGGAGAUAGGAAUGACGCUGCCCACCUCUCUCACUCAACUGCUCCUUUAGGGAUUCGAAAAACUGAUAUCUCUGUCUUCGACGGGUUUUCAAAGCCUCAACUCUCUUCAAUACUUAUUGAUCUGGGGUUGCCCAAAUCUCACAUCAUUCCCAGAGGCGGGUCUUCCAUCCUCACUUUUGGAUUUAGGCAUUUACAAUUGUCCAAAGCUUAAAAGAGCGUGCAAAAGAGAUCAAGGAAAAGAGUGGCCCAAAAUUGCUCACAUCCCUCGCAUUGAGAUAGACAGAAAAUUCAUAUACGAUCCAGAAUCAGAGGAGUAGAUUCUAUUACAAAGGUCAGUUGAUUUCUAUUAUCCUCUAUAACAAGCUCCUCUUAAUUUUUUUUUUCUAAGUAAUAAUUUUGCAGUUCUGUAUAAUUAUUAAUCGUCUGCUCUUAAUUGAAAAUGUCACUCACUUGAUUCCGUUUUCACUAGUCAAAUUGUAUGUUGAGGCUAUUUGCUUUUUAAUUAUAACACUUAUCUUAAAAUUUAAUACCAAAUUUUUUUGAUUCACUUCAAUUAGCAUUUUGUUUUCCCCAAAUUAGGCAAGCCGAGAGCUUCAUUAACUAGAGUUUUUUAUUUUUCGGACCUUGCAUCUGAAAGGUUCAGUGUAUUUUUUUUUUUUUCAAAUUUAUUGUUCAGAUCUCAGACGAGUAUACGGUUUAGAUUACAAAACACCUAUGAUUAAUUUCUUUUUUUUUUUUUUAAUUUCAGGGAGAAGAAGUGGUCAGUUUCAAUCCGGAAUUGGAAUAUGGCAAUUUGGUUCAAGCACACACACCUGGUCACUUGGUCAGUGAACCUGAACUUUACGCAGUUUUUUCAACUCAGUGAUUUUUGGAACGCAUAUUGGUGUAAGGAAAUCAAUAGAAAUUUAUGCAUAGUCAAAUUCUGAUAUUUGCUAUAAUAUUAUACAUUCUAAAGUUUCUCCAGUUUGUUCUCAGAUUACCAUCAUUUUUUGCCUUCACCAAAAAAAAAUCGAGUGGCUUUCCAGUGGAUAUUUAAUCGGAGGUAUGACUGGAUUUUUUUCACUUCUGUAAAUCUUGCAUUUUAAACUGGCAAAUUUAACUUUAAUUUUAAUACGACUUGUUUGAGGGAAAUACUCCGACGAGACCAGACGUGAUGAGCAGAUGUUUGGUGGCAGAAGUCUGCGAGCAGGUGUGUCCUGUAAGAGCCAGGUAGCAGGGAAACAGGGGCAGAAAUAUCCUGCUCAUCCACGAGCAUGUCAUCCGCGAGGCCAAUUUCCUGUAAGAAACAUAAAGCCAUUCCUGCUGUAUUCUUGCUAAGGGUUGAUUCGAGGAGACCCGGUCAACGACAGUUGGCGAGGCAUGCUCUCCAGCCCGAGAAUCUAGGCACGAAGGCCACGCAACCACCCACGACUACGGAAAUGGGGAAUCCACGUUCGAGAGGUGGGAGGAUAACAGACGUAGACUGCGGAAAACUGGGAUUCAGAGGAAGCCUAUAAAAAGGUAGCCAACGAAGGUAAAAGGGUUAGCAAUUUUGAUUCUAAAAGAGAGAAAACAACCUAACAACCAUAAGAUUUUUGGCAAGCGUUCCCCGAACCUUCAUAUCUGACUUGAGCGUCGGAGGGUUUGCGCCGGGAAAACAACCGGCGUACUCUGACCUGUCUGUGUGCGCAGGAACCUCUGGAGAAGAAGCUUUACGAGGAGAGAUCCUGGUCGUGGUGAAGUUGAUCGAGCAGAGACCCUGGUCGUAGAACGAGGAGAACCAGAAUCUCGCAUCAACACGACUUUGUUGGUGCCUUGUGUUCCAGAAACUAGAAUGAUGUGUAGUUUUCAGAUUAAGGGGCUUGUAAAUUCUCUAGUAAGAAUCCAAUAAUUUGCUUUUGCACAUUCAUUUUAUUUGUGGAUCCUUGCAUCUGAAUUUGAUCAAUCCAAAAGGAAUUGCUUUUAGACAGAAGAAGAAUUGCAGUACCUAGCCUACGACAUAGUAAAUGGACCUGCAAACCUGUAACUAUUAGUUUGAGGUAAAAAAUUCAUGACCCUCACAUGUUAACUUCUUCUAGUUACUUUCAUCAAAAACACAUUUAAGAAAUUUGCAAUUUUUUGUUAGUUUUGUAUACCGAUGUUGUUUUCUGUUUUAGCAUUUGUAUAAUCUACUGUAUUAUAUUUUGGCGGUUGCAGUAUCUGAGGUAUCUUUUGCAUUUAACUUGCUUUAUUUGUUUUGCUUGUGACUUAAGAACACCAAUAUUUGCCAGAGAUUUAGAGAAGCAUAUCAAGAUGCUUGGCAAACUUGACAAACUUCAAGAUCCUUCAUUCUUCACGACCCAAAACUUGUGAGUACACUUAUGCCCGCAAUUAUUGUGAAACGCUUGCAAUUUUGAUGCAGCGAAAUGGUUUGUUGAUGCAAAGGUUUAAACUUUUAAGAUUUACACUGCAGGGUAGUUGGAUGCUGUAUAGUCGAACGGCCACCAACAUCAAGAACUAUAACUCCAAGACCGGGUUUGCAUUAAUUCAAUCAGCUGAAAUAAUGAUGCAAAUGACACUAUCAGCUGGACUUAGAGACCAGUCAGAUCAAUCAUCCUUUUAUCAACAGUUAAUGUCAUGAUGGUGUCUAUCGGAGGAAACAAAGGAUGUGUCGGAAUCAAUAUGAACAGUGAGAAGAAUGAGAGGAGCUUUGAUUAUAAGUAGGCUCAAUGAACUCAUGCUGGUAAGUGGUAAUUAAAGAAAUUUGUGCGCUUAGUAGCAUUCAAUAUUUUCUGUUUGGGAUAUAGUUGAUGAGUUGAUACUCUGAUUAAGAAGCCUGAUUAUAGUAGCUGACUUUUUUUUUGUGGUUUGCUGUUGUUUAUUCUUUCGAUUAAUUUCAACAUUAGGUUGAUCUGUUGAAGAACAAACUUGGGUUUGAUUAUGCUUUAACUACAAGGAAGAGCCAGACUUGGAUGCAGGCGUUCAGCUUUUAAUGGGUAAGAACAAAUGUAUGCUUUAACCAUGUUUCUCACUUAUUACAAUGCACACAUUGAAGGCAUCUGAGCUGAUCCUGAAAAUGUGAUGGAAAUACUUCUCUGUUUACAUAAAACAGACAAAUAGAGAUCUCUGAUCAUGCCUGAGAAUUCGUUGCAUUUAAAAUUUCUACCAUUGCCAAAAAUAGAAUAAACUACGGAUACAUUAGCUUAAGACUCAAUUUUGAGAAGGAAGUUUGCACAUGCAGCCUAAAAAAUCACGUCCGUGUUGUAUACUUGUAUGUUUCUUUGGGAAAUGAAAGAUUCUGUGUUCUUUUAUUUCAAGUUUGCUGAAAUCACAUUUGUUUUCUUAGAUGCUUUUGGGAAGGUAACAACAUCAAUUUCAUAAAUGCUGGGGUAAGAUGCAUCACGCAGUGCUACUCAACAUGAGAAUUCCCGGCCGCAUUACCUGUAUGUUGAGUGAUCGCACAGUACAACCUUUAGAAGCUUGUAAGGAGUAGACAACUAGAUGCGAAUAGUUUCAAUAUGGAUUCGCAUCAAAUGAUCUCUUGCCAGUGAUUACUAUAACCUCUAUCCCAAAAUUCUUGGAACUGGUCAUACCAAUAAUGAAGUAUUGUGUACGUUGAAGACGUAGCUCAAGGCCUUGCGAAAGCUCCGUCAGCCUUUGUAUUGGAAAACAGUUGGUUGUAGUUGCUUCUGAAUGAUAUUAUUAAUAGAUACUGUAAAAAUGAAGUGUGCCACUCAUUUUCAGAGCCCUGUUAAGAUGUGUUGGUAAUGUGUUUGAAGGUUGUUUGAUUUGUGUUGUAUUCAGCUAUAAAUCAAAGAUUCAGAACAUGGUUAUGUUACUGGUUUCCAAAUAAAAAAAUUGCCUUGUGAUGUUAGUGUUCAUUGUUUUCACAGGAGAUCAGGUUCCCUGUUGAUGAAUCAAGAAGGCAAACGCAUCCAUGCCUUAAGUUCAAAUGUGUCUCUUCUAUUUUCUAUUACUGACUCCUUUAUUUUGAUUUCUUCAUUGUAAUGGAAUUGGUUUUCAUUCCAAAUUAGUCAAAACCUCCUAGAGUCAUUAAGUUCUGUUAGCAUUUGAAGAUAGAACUAGAACUAAAUGAUUGACUGGAUUAAAUUCCGAUAAAGAAUUAAGUUAUGUAUUUAGAGAUAUUUUGUUUUUUUUUUCAUUUGUUCAAUUUGGUUAGUGGUGAUUUCUUAAAGACUCAAUCCAUGUGCGUUUAUGCAUUUUUCUUUUGCCUUAAUUUCUGUUUCUUGGGGAGUUUAUACAGAUUCUUAUUUUAUGCUUCACAUGCCACAUGAAAGAUCGAAGCAUUUUGUGUGAUUAGAACUGACUUGCAUCACAGUAACUUUAAACCACUGCCACAUUUUUAUAAUAACAGUCUGAGAUCUCCCUGAAGGAUUCAAAGCAUUUUAUUUUAUAUUAACCUCCUUUAAGUGGGUUUCGACACUACCACAAGUUCUUUAAAUACUAAAACGAUUUUGAGUCUUUUGUAUCAUCUGAUUGAAAUACCUGAAAGCACUCGUGGCUGCAAAAAUAUAUCGAUUUUGAGUAUGGCGUGCAUGUAAAUUAUAUCGAUUUUUUCUAUAUGACAAGUAAGACUCUCUUUUACAAUGGCACGGAUGCGUCAUUGAGUAAUCAUGAUUCUUGCUGGUAGUGCUUUGUUGUAUCAAUCUGCUAGCUAUUCAGCUUUCUUUCUUUCUUUCUUCUUUUUUUUUUUUUUUUUUUGUUUUCAAAUAGCUUGUGGUUGUAGAAAUAUUUCAAUUAAACUAUACUUAAGUACUUAUUUAGUAUAACUUCUUUACUAGCCAAAAUAAUUUUUUUUUGGUUUUUUAUAAUUUAAUUAUACUUUAACUAGAGUUUUUGGGAUUAAACAAGUGAUAAUUUCUCUCUAUUAAGAAAAACUCAAAAUUUUUUAAUUACUAGAAUGCGUCUAAAUUAAAUUACAAUUAUAGACACUAAAAUAUAGUAAAUUUUUUUUUUUACUCUUUAAAACUGUCUUUACAUUCGAUAUCAUAUUUUUUUCUUAAAAUCUAAAUUGAUAUUUUUAUUUUAUUUUUGAUUAAUCUUAGAACACAUAUAAAGUGAUUCAUAUUGAUUUUAUACUAACAAACUAUCAUAGCACAUUCGAAAAUAAUUAACUCGUUCUUAUUUGCAUAGUGAAAAAGGCAAAUAGCUCACCCAAAUGUUAAGGAACUGGAGAGCUGCUGCUGGAGACGAAAGGAUGUGAAAAGCAUGGUAAAGAAAAAUUGCAUAAUUCUCACUUAGAAGAGGAAGAAAAAAAAAAUACAAUUAGAAUGAGAGGUAGCCAGUAGCCAGUAGCCGCCACCACCACCAGUCAAACUAUUUCGACACACUAAUACUGUAAUACAUAUCAAAAUGCAAUAUCGGUCCUAACAAAAUGAAAAUAAAAAUUCAUUACGAAUAUGUGUUAAAGAUAUCCCAAGUAUUGAUGUGAUUGAAAUAUUUGAGAUUGAAGUAGAAAUAAGACUCAAAAUCAAUUGAGAGGAAUAAAUGAGAAACUCUAAUACUAAUAAAAUAUAUUCACAAAUCCUAAUGCUAAUUAAAAUCACGGAUUAAAAAAAAUAAUAUGAAUGAAUUACAGGCGCAACUGUUUCAUUAAAAAAUUAAUAAAAUCGUGUAUUAAUAUUUUGUACACAUACAUUUUUCCAUAUAUAACUUUUGGUAAUUUAGUUUUCCACUUAUCAUUUUUACUCCAAAAAAAUAAUUGAGAAUAUUAUUUAUGUUUUGGUGCAAAAUAUUUAAACAACAUAAAAAUUUUCAGUUUAAUAAAUCUAAACAAUUCUCAAGUUAUAAAUGAAUUUAAUGGGUUUAAUUAGUAAAAAUACUAUUAUUUUAUAAAUUGGGUUUAGUAAUGGUAUAUUGGGUAUUUAAAUGGGUUUGUUGAGUAAAUUUUAAAAUUUUAAAGUUCAAGGGUAGGUUUAUUUAGUAAAUGGGUUAAUGCAGCAAUUUUCAAACUAAAUUUUUGGAAAAAGAGGCUAUUGAGUUUUUUUUAAGAAAAAGAAUUAAAAUGUUGAGAAUACCUUUAUUUAAUUUUAUAAUCUAAUUUUAAAAAAUUUACCCAAUAAAUUUUAUAAUUUUUUAUAAAAAUUAUCAUUAACAUCCAAACAGCUGAAGAUUAAAAAAAAAAAAAGAAGGGAACUGUACUAGCAAAAGUUAGAUUAACAAUAAAUUUAGUCCAAAGAAUAAAGUUAUAGCUAAAAAGUGCUCCUAUCCUAUUUUUCUCUAUUUUAACAAUAAUCUUCCAAUCCAUUUUACAAUGGACUUAACAAAUGGGCUCAAUCUCUAAACUUCAUUUUCUUUUGCUAACCCAUGGCCAUUAGCCAGAAAGCCUAAAACAAUUUUAGGAUCACAUGUGUAAAUGGAACCCCAAGAUUGAUCAAGAAUUAACAAGACAAGAUGAAGAGAUGAUCUUGUAACUAAGAAUGAAGAAAUUGAAUCAAGACAGUACUCUAGUAAAACCCAGAAAACAGAGCUUGAAGAAUCACGCACAAAGCAGUAAAUUUGUAAAACCAGAAUUGGAGCUUCACUUCUCAAGAUAGACGAAACAGGAUACAAUCUAGCUUUGGUCAACUUCGUUUGGCCACGUCAUAAAGUCUUCCCCCACAGUCUUUCCCGCCAAAACAGAAAAGCUUUAAAAGCCAUUUACCCUCCUGAGUUACUUGCUCCUAUUACAUCAAGGCCCUGUAAGUCUAUAUUUAUUAUUACAAAAGCACCCUUAAACCGAGAUUUGAGAUAUUUUUUCAAAGAUCGAAGCGCAUGAUUUCACGGCUAUGUUGCAUAGUGAAUUUUAGUGCUUUACAGUUAAGGGAUAGUUUAAAUUCAUUACAAAGCAUUCGCAAAGAAAUUGUUUUUAAAUGAAACUCCUCGUCUUGACCAGAUUAUUUAUUAUUAUUAAAAAAAAAAUGUUCAAAACUUAGCCAAAGUGAUAAACUCGUAAUUAUUCUACAAAGGGAACAAUUUUGAACGGUGGGAAAUUCCAUAAUUAUGCUUUUCUGUGAAUUAUUUUAAAUAAAAUUAUAAAAAUUAAUAUAAAAUUAUAAUAAUGAUAGAGCCACAAACUCUUGUACAAAUUUAUUUUAUACAAACUCAUGUGGCAUGAUAAGAUUGGUUGAAUUAAAUAUUACUUGGCCCACAUGAUUUGUUUUUAUUAUUUUAUAUUUUUAUUCAACCAAUAAAUUAAUACCACGUCAGUUUGUACAAAAUAAAUUUAUACAAAAAUUUGUGACUCGAUCAUCACUCAUAAAAUUAAUACCCGGUAAAGACUGUAGAGAGACAAGUGCCCCCAACAGAAUCAAGUGAAUAUGCCCCACAAAGAUCACAUGAUCAUUUCUGUUCUUUUUCUUUUUGAUAAUUUUAUCUGUGGUUUCAACUUUUAUGCUUUAUUGUCGUAUCCCGUUGAGGGCUCCGCUGCACCCAUUACAACUUACCCCUAAAUUGCCUCUUACUAACUAAACCGUUAGAUUUUAUGGAAGCACGUUCAAUGUUGAAUUUUAAUUAUGUCAUCGAAUUUCGUUUAGCUCCUUAAACUCCAUUUUAUUUGUAAUUUCUUCAUAAAAUAUUCAAAGCUUCAUCAAGCUCCUGAUGGACCAUCAUGGCUAGGGGUGCAUUAGAGCCGAACUGAAAUAUGUUAGUUCAGUUCAGUUUGGUCAGUUUAAAUCGAAUGGUUUAGAAUAUAUAAACUGAUCAAUUUUAAUUUUGAAUUGAACCGAACCGAAAAUCAAUUGGUUCACUAUUAGUAUUUUUGUAUAAACAAGAAUGAUUAGUGAUUAUAAUUAAAUUGGACUAAAAAAAAUUCAAACUAAGGUGAAAAAUAUCAAAUCUUAGACAAUAUAAAAAAAAAUAUUAAAUUUUUUUAACCGAAACGAACCGAAUUAUUUUGACUCAGUUUGGUUCAUAAUUUUUUAAACCAAACUGAUUUAUUCCCACCCCCUAAUCGUGGCUCUCUAUCUUUAGUCAUUCACCCUUGAGUUUGAUGCCAAUUGUUGGGUUUCAAAUGAUUAUACACUCAAAUGGAACCCUCAUAACAAAAAACUAACAGAAACAAUAAGAACACGAUGUUAAAAUCUUAAAUCAAUCGCAAAAAAGCACCCAAAACAGAUCGAUUAGGAACAGUUAAGAACAAAAGAUUUGAUGGUUCAAAAUCAUAAUGUGACCUACGUACUUUCAUCCAAGAAUCAUACUAAUUGCUUUACUAGUUGUCAAACUCAAGAUCACAAGAUUGUUUAUCACUCUACAUAAAAAUUUUUUUUAGAAGAAAUACUCCCCAAUUUUUCUCUUAAUAGUUAUGAAUCAACACCCCUAGGAAGCCUGUUGAUUUACUUUUCCUUAUUUCCUAUGAUCGGUUGCUGCAACUUAAUCCUUGCCAAGCUCCAACAUAGUCCAAACACUUUUAACGGUACAGGCAUAGUGCACCUUCAGAAACUUUACAGCUCCUCUUAAAACCUCAGGCAUCGUAAGCACAUUAAGCAGCCGACAACACUCUUCUUCAUUUCUUCAUUGUCAAUUUCCUUCUUGGAACAUUGCUCCAUUGAGAGUCUGCUAGAAUUGCUCCAAUUAUUAUUAUUAUUUAAAAAAAAAAGAAAACCCUGCAAUAAGAGUAUAAGACUAAGCAACGGUCCUUUUUUUUUCCCCAUUCUUGAACCUAAAGUAUUUGAGUAUGCAAAUUAAUAAAUAAAUUCAUUUAUUUUUAUUAAAAUUUUGUAAAAUUAUAAUUUUUAAUAAAAAUAAUUAUUAAAAUUUUGUAAAAUCUAAAUUUAGAAAAAUUCAGUUGGGCACCUCUAUUUGAGAUUUAUUUUUUAUUAAAUUUAGGGAUAUUUUUAUAAUUAUAAUUUUUAAUUUUAAAAGUUUUUAUAAGAUAAAAUAGUCUUUUAAUUUAUUUAGGGGGUAAAAUUGGUGUUUUAUUAAAAUUAUUUAAUUGUGUUAAUGCAAAAGUGGCUAUUUGAUACAAAUGUGAAAAGAAAGGUGGUGCAAAAUAUAUGUUAAAAUUUUAUAUUGGUUGGAUGAACAUAAGCUAAAAUAAAGGUGGUGCAAUGAUAAUUUCCCUAUCCUAAAACUUAAUUGACUUAAUUCUUACGGUGCAAGGAAGAGGUUUCCAAGUUUAAAUCUAAAGGCUUGUAUUUAAUUUGGGGUUGGGAAAGCACUGAGAAAUAAAUGUAACUAAGGAAAAAAAAAAAGUCACGCAGUCCAAAUAAGUAGAUAUAUUUAAUAUGAGGUGGGGAUGGGUGAACUGUAAUUCAGAAAAAAAUAAAAUAAAAUUUUAUAUAAAGUUGAGGGUGUGUUUUAAUGGUUUCUUAUGCUGCGUUUAUUUUUUGGACUAGAGUGAGAAUUCUAAAAAGUGAGAAUCCUAUGAUUAGGUGUGUGGAGUGGGAGUGGGAGUAUGGUAUUUACUUAGACUAAAUAAAAGUAUGGAUUGUCAAUCAGAAUCUCAAUUAUUUGUUACUUUGUCUUGGAUUGAGAGUAAAUUAUUUUAAAUUACAAUUUUAUCCUUAUGUAAAGAAUUAUAAUUUGUAAUUAAAAAAUUAAUAAAAAUAUAUUGGAAAAUAAAAUAAAUAUUUUAUUAUAUUUAUAAAAUAAUAAUAAUUAAUAAAAUUCUUAAUUAUGUAAAUCAUAAUUUUUUAUUAAUUUAAAUUUAAAUUAUGUGAAUAAAAUUAUUAAUAAUAGCAACACAAAUGAAACAUUAUUAUUAAUAAUAUAGUAUAAAAUUAAUAUUUUUUUAGAAUAAAAUAUUUAUUAUUAUUAAAUAAAUAAAUAAUAUUUAUUAAAAUUAAUGUUUAAUAUUAUUAAUUUAAAUAUAAUAUUUAUUUAUUUUUAUUUUAUUUUAUUAAAUUUAAUAAAAUAAAUAUGUUAUAAUUAUUAUUUUUAAUAAAUAUGAUAUUAUUUAUUUUAUUAAAUAUUAUUUAUUUAUUUUAAUUAUGAGGGUAAAAAUGGAAGAGGGGGAGUGGAUUCCCACUCCCACCUCCCCCCAUGGGAGUGGGAAUCCCACUCUCCCCUUAAAAAUGGUAAGUAAAUAUUAGAAUGGGAAGAAUCUACACUCUACACUUUCUAGAAAAUAAACACUACCUUUAUUUAAAUCGAUUUGUUGGAUAUUUAGCUAAAAUGAGAGUAGCUCUCUAAUAAUUAUUGCAUUAUUACAAACAUAUCCAACGGUUAUAAUAGCGCGCUGAAUCAAUGCUUCAGAAGGAUGACAGUCUGAGUGAAAAGGAAAUAAACGCUUUCAAUUGAAUUACUACCACUACACUCCAAUACUCUAUUAUUGUUUGUGUGCUUGCUUGUGGACCUUUUUACUUCUUACUAUCAUUAUUGAAUUCCAUUUCCAAAUUUUCAGCAUACUUUUGCUUUCUUUCAGUAUCUUCAGUUUCUCUUUUGCUUGCUAUCAAUUCAGUUUUCUUCUUGUGAAGAUCGAACGGAACCAUGGUUGCUGUGGGAGAGAUCUUACUCAACGCCUUCUUUCAGGUGUUGUUUGACAGGUUGGCUUCCCGUGAUUUGCUCAGCUUUGUCCGUCAACUUGGAGGCGGGGACGAUUCCGAGCUCAAGAAGUGGGAAAGAAAGCUGAAGAUGAUUCAGGCGGUGCUCAACGAUGCAGAGGAGAAGCAACUGACCGACGAGGCCGUGAAGAUGUGGCUGGACGAUCUCCAAGACUUGGCUUAUGACGCUGAGGACAUUCUUGAGGAGUUUGCUACUCAAGCUUUGGAAAGCAAGUUGAUGGCGAAAAAUCAGGAUCGCAUUGGCCAGGUUCUUAGUUUCAUACCGGCUAGUUUGAAUCCGAAUGCUAUUAUGUCCAAUUAUAGCAUGGGAUCCAAGAUUAAAGAUAUUACUAGCCGGUUGGAGCAACUCUGCCAAGAUAGAAUUGAACUUGGGCUGCAACGGAUUGCUGGAGGGGCAUCAUCAACUACUUCUGCUGCACAUCAGAGGCGAGACAGUUCGAGUGUCCCAACAGAACGUGAAGUAUUUGGAAGAGAAGAAGAUAAGGCCAAAAUUCUUGAUAUGGUAUUGACCGAUACCCCAAGUGAUCGUGCCAACUUUGUUGUAAUACCCAUUGUUGGCAUGGGCGGGAUAGGAAAAACAACUCUUGCCCGGGAGGUCUACAAUGACAAGGCCGUUGAAGAUUCCAAGUUUGAUGUAAAAGCAUGGGUUUGUGUCUCUGAUGUCUUUGAUAUUUUGGGCAUCUCAAAGGCACUUCUCCAGUCAAUCACCUCCGCAGCUAGUGAUCUCAAGACUUUAAAUGAGGUGCAGGUUCAACUGAAAAAAGCAGUUGACGGAAAAAGAUUCUUGCUGGUCUUAGAUGAUGUUUGGAACGAGAACUACAACUUGUGGGAAGACUUAAAAGCUCCGUUCCUGGAUGCUGCACCAAACAGCAAGAUGAUCGUCACCACACGCAAUUCAAGUGUUGCAUCAACAAUGAGACCCAUUGAACAUUUCAAUCUCAAGAGUCUGUUGGAUGACGAUUGCUGGUCCAUUUUUAUAAAGCAUGCAGUUGAAGGUGGAGAUCUUAACGAGGAUCAAAUUUCAGAAUCAUUCCGCAAGAAAGUUGUUGGCAAGUGUGGAGGCUUGCCUCUGGCAGCAAAAACUCUCGGGGGCCUUCUGCGUACGACGAGGCAUGAUGGGUGGGAUGGUAUAUUGGAUAGCAAAAUAUGGGAAUUACAUCAACAUAGCAGCAUUCUCCCUGUGUUAAGAUUGAGUUACCAUCAUCUUCCGUCUCAUUUGAAAAGAUGUUUUGCUUUUUGUGCCAUCUUUCCAAAAGAUUAUGAAUUCACUGAGAAGGAGCUGACUUUCUUAUGGAUGGCUGGAGGUAUUAUUCGACAGUCAAGAAACAAUGAGCAGCUGGAAGAUUUGGGCAGCAAGUGCUUUGGUGAUCUAGUGUCAAGGUCAAUUUUUCAACAAACAGCAAUCUCUGAUAGUUCUAAAUUUGUAAUGCACGACCUUAUCCAUGAUCUUGCUGAAUUGGUCUCUGGAGGAACCAUAUUUAGGUCAGAGGAGGCCAAUACUCUAUCAAGAAGAUUUGAAAGGGUUCGCCAUUCUUCCUAUACCCGUGAUUGGUAUGAUGGUAAAAAUAAGUUCGAGGUUUUCAAUGAAAUUGAACAUCUACGAACAUUCUUGCCGUUAAGAGGUAACUAUUGUACUAGUUACAUAACUCGACCGAUUCUAUCUGAUAUGCUGCCAAAGUUCAAAAGGUUGAGAACGCUAUCUUUACAAGGAUACUGUAUUGGUGAGUUACCAAUUCCAUUUGAAGAUUUGAGACUUUUAAGGUUCCUCAACCUUGCUGACACUGACAUAAGAAGUUUACCUGACUCAACAUGCAAAUUGCUGAACUUGGAAAUUCUGAUAUUAAGAAAUUGUUCCCGUUUGAUAAAGCUUCCGCAGAAAAUGAGGAAUUUGAUCAAUUUAUGCCAUCUGGAUAUAAGAGGUGCGAAGUUGCUGAAGGAGAUGCCAGUCGGAAUGAAAGAGCUGAAGAAGCUUCAAACAUUGUCCAAUUUUAUUGUAGGCAAGGGUGAAUCCGCAUCUGGUUUGGAAGAUUUAAAAAGUUUAAACCUUCUUUGUGAUGAACUUUGCAUUGCUGGAUUAGAGAAUGUGAAUAAUCCACAGAAUGCAAGAGAAGCCGCAUUAUGUGAGAAGCACAAUCUUGAAGCAUUGACUCUAACAUGGUGGCCUCAAUUUGACAGUCCUCGAGGUGUAGUAGUGGAAGAGAAUGUACUUGACGUUUUGCAGCCUCAUAAAUGUAUAAAAAAGGUGGCAAUCAGGAACUAUGGUGGUGCAAGAUUUCCACCUUGGAUAGGAGAUACUUUAUUCUCCAAGAUAGAGCUCCUUGAAUUGAAGAACUGUGACAAUUGUGUGUCUUUGCCAUCGCUUGGCCUAUUGAGUUCACUUAAACACCUUGCUGUUAAAGGGCUGAAGAAACUAAAAAGCAUAGAGUCUGAGGUUUAUGGGGAGGGUUUGUCAAUGCCUUUUCCAUCGUUGGAGGUUCUAAGUUUUGAGAAUUUGCCUGAAUGGGAGUAUUGGGACACCAAUAUCAGAGGAAAUGUGCUCGUUGAAAUGUUUCCUCGUCUCCAUAAACUUUCCAUUGUGGAAUGUCCAAAACUCUCUGGGGAACUGCCUGAGCUCCUGCCCUCCUUGGAGACACUUGUUGUUAUUAAAUGUGAAAAUUUGGUAGUUCCAUUGUCUCGCUAUCCGAUGCUCUGCAGAUUAGAAGUUGAUGAGUGCAAGGAACUAGCGUGCGGGACUCCAAUUGAUUUCAAGUUGAUAAAGUCUGUGACUAUUUCAAAUAGUUCCUUAGACAUGGAUGGAUGCAAGGGGAUGCUAUACGAUGGUCCAGCUAGCUCUUCACUGCCAAAGCCCACGAUUACUACAAAUGUUUUGGAGUUUGGAAAAUUAUUGAAGCCUGGAUUUCAGAUAUUAGAAACGUUGGUAAUUGGCAAUUCUGAACAGCUCAAGUCAUGGAGGCAGCAUGGGGAUUUUCUAGAAGAAUAUAUGGUCGCUCGCCAAAGGUUUAAGAAACCAGUACAAGGGCUGAAUAUGCUCGCUUCCCCUGAAGAGGUAACAAUUGAAGAAAGUUGCGUACGUCUUGUUUUGUUUCCAGAGAUCAAUUUCUUUCCCAGAAAUCUGCGCUCUCUUCUAAUUAACAACAACACUGCUUUCAAAUCCUUACCCGAGGAAAUGAUGGAAAACAAUUCACAACUCGAAAGGUUGUAUAUCAGAGAUUGCGACUCUCUAACAUUCAUCGCAAGACGGAGGCUACCAGCAUCUCUUAAAAGGCUUGAGAUAGAAAAUUGUGAGAAAUUGCAACGUCUGUUCGAUGAUGAAGAGGAUGCUUCUUCUUCUUCUUCUCCUUCAUCCUCGUCUUCCCCAGUGAUGCUGCAACGCCUGAAUAUAAAGAACUGCCCAGAGCUCACCAGUUUAUCAUCGGGUGUCCAAUUCCUUGAGGCGCUUGAAGGCCUCGAGAUAUGGGAUUGUCCAAAGCUGGAGUCAAUACCGGAUGGCCUGCACAAUCUUAAAUGUUUACAGAGCAUUCAUAUAGAUGGAUGUCCAAGUCUUGUUUCCUUGCCCAAUGACAUGCACAAACUGAACUCUCUUCGAGAUUUAAACAUACGGGCGUGUCCAAUAUCGUUUCCAGAAGAAGGUUGUCCUACCAAUCUAACAUCACUUACACUUGGAUAUGUCGAAAUGUAUAAGACACUCGUCCAGUGGGGGUUGCACAGGCUUACCUCUCUUAGAAGCCUCGACAUUUUUGGAUGUGAUGAUGAAGCAGAGUGUUUUCCAGACGAGGAGAUAGGAAUGACGCUGCCCACCUCUCUCACUCAUCUGCACCUUUUUGAUUUCGAAAAAUUGAGAUCUCUGUCUUCGACGGGUUUUCAGAGCCUCACCUCUCUUCAAUCUUUGGAUAUCUGGUUUUGCCCAAAUCUCACAUCAUUCCCAAAGGUGGGCUUUCCAUCCUCACUUGUGGAAUUACGCAUUAGAGAUUGUCCAAAGCUUAAAAAAGCGUGCAAAAGAGAUCAAGGAAAAGAGUGGCCCAAAAUUGCUCACAUCCCUUGCGUUGAGAUAGACGAUAAAUUCAUAUACCAUCCAAAAUCAGAGGUGUAGAGUGUAUUAUUAAGGUCAGUUGAUUUAUGUUAUCCACCAUAACAAGCUCCUCCUUUUUUUUUAAAUAAUAAUUUUGCAGUCACUCGCGUGAUUCCGUUUUCACAAGUCAGAUUGUAUGUUGAGGCUAUUUGCCUUUUAAUCGCAGAUUAAAUUAUAACACUUAUCUUAAAAUUUAAUACCAUAGACAGAUAGACGAUUUUUUAAUCCAAAGUUUUUUUAUUCACUUCAGUUAGCAUUUUUUUUUUCCCCAAAUCAUGCAAGCCGAGAGUUUCAAUCAACAGAAUUUUAUUCACUCAUUGACUUUUCAACUGCUGUGGUUAUUUAUGGGUGAAAGAUAAAUUUCUUAGAUGGUAGAUAUAUCGACAUUUUAGAUUUCAGAUAUUUGUCACCAAUUUCAUUCCUUUUUUUAAAAUUUUUUUUAAGCAAGUUUGACUAAUUUUAACCAGAAUUGGAGUAUAAUAUUUUGGAGCAAGCAUACUUGAAAUUUCUGUCUUCAAUUUUUUUGAUGCUUUUUUAAUUUUGAUCUAGUAAAAAUACAUAGCCUUCACCGGCAGGAUUCUAGUCUUGGCUUUCACCUCUCUAACUCAUCUGUCCCUAUUGGGAUUCCAGAAAUUUAAAUUUCUGUCUUCAAUGGGUUUUCAAAGCCUCACCUCUCUUCGAUUUUUGUGGAUUGGGAAUUGCACAAAUCUCACAUCAUUUCCCGAGGUCGAGGAAAAGAGCGGCCCAAACUAUCAGCGGUGUUGAUUCUCUUAUUAAGGUCAGCUGAUUUCUAUUAUCCACUCUGACAAUCUCCUAUUAGUGUUUUUUUUUUAAAAAAUUUGCAGUUCUGUAUAAUUGAAAUGCCACUCACUUGUUUCCUUCUUCACAGGUCAGAUAGUAUGUUAAAGCUAUUAGUGCUGCCUCAUAGGUUGAUUACUCACAGAUGAAAUCAUAACUUUUAUCUUAAAAUUUAAUAGCAUACACAGAUAGACGAUUUUUAGUCCAAAGUUUUUUUUAUUCACUUCAAUCAAAAUUUUAGAUUGCAGAUUUUUGUCGAGUAUUUUCAUUCCAAUUUUUUCAUUUUUUAUUUUAAACCAGAAUUGGAGUAUAAAAUUUUGGAGCGCGCAUACUCUGAUGCAUGCAAUUAACUGUUUUUAAUCGUUGGAUUUUGAAAUUAAUGAUGGUAAGAUGUGUACUUAUUCUUUCUUCCAACAACCUUGCCUUCUUUCUUCGGUCGCAUAUCUAAUGAAUAUUUCUCUGUUUAGUUAAGGAUGAAUGCUUGGAGUGGGGUACUUGGUAACAUUUCUGCCUUAGAUGAAUCCUUGAAGAAAUGCCCGCAGUUCCUGAGACCAAAUACAGGUCUGAUUCAAAACAGCACCUUUCCCAGAAAAUAUGAUCCAAGGCAAAGUCAUGUUCUGAUAAUGUUUCCUUAAGUACUAAGUUGCAAGGAAACUUGAUUCAUUAACUACAGUUUUUUAUUUUUAGGACCUUGUAUCUGAAAGGUUCAGUGUUUUUUUUUUUCAAAUUUAUUGUUCAGAUCUCAGAGGAGUAUAUGGUUUAGAUUACAAAACACCCAUGAUUAAUUUCAUUUUUUUUUUAAUUUCAGGGAGAAGAAGUGGUCAGUUUCAAUCCGGAAUUGGAAUAUGGCAAUUUGGUUCAAGCAAACACACCUGGUCACUUGGUCAGUGGUCACUUGGUCAGCGAACCUGAACUUUACGCAGUUUUUUCAACUCAGUGAUUUUUGGAACGCAUAUUGGUGUAAGGAAAUCAAAAGAAAUUUAUGCAUUGUCAAAUUCUGAUAUUUGCUAUAUAUUAUACAUUCUAAAGUUUCUCCAGUUUGUUCUCAGAUUACCAUCAUUUUUUGCUUUCACCAACCAAACAAAAACAAAAUGAGUGGCUUUCCGGUGGAUAUUUAAUCGGAGGUAUGACUGGAUUUUUUUCACUUCUGUAAAUCUUGCAUUUUAAACUGGCAAAUUUAACUUUAAUUUUAAUAGGACUUUGUUGGUACCUUGUGUUCCAGAAACUAGAAAGAUGUGUAGUUUUCAGAUAAAGGGGCUUGUAAAUUCUCUAGUAAGAAUCCAAUAAUUUGCUUUUGCACGUUCAUUUUAUUUGUGGAUCCUUGCAUCUGAAUUUGAUCAAUCCAAAAGGAAUUGCUUUUAGACAGAAGAAGAAUAGCAGUACCUAGCCUAUGACAUAGUAUAUGGACCUGCAAACCUGAAACUAUUAGUUUGAGGUAAAAAAUUCAUGACCCUCACAUGUUAACUUCUUCUAGUUACUUUCAUGAAAAACACAUUUAAGAAAUUUGCAAUUUUUUGUUAGUUUCGUAUCCGAUGUUGUUUUCUGUUUUAGCAUUUGUAGAAUCUACUGUAUUAUAUUUUGGCAGUUGCAGUAUCUGAGGUAUGUUUUGCAUUUAACUUGCUUUGUUUGUUUUGCUUGUGACUUAAGAACACCAAUAUUUGCCAGAGAUUUAGAGAAGCAUAUCAAGAUGCUUGGCAAACUUGACAAACUUCAAGAUCCUCCAUUCUUCACAACGCAAAACUUGUGAGUACACCUAUGCCCGCAAUUAUUGUGAAAUGCUUGCAAUUUUGAUGCACUGAAAUGGUUUGUUGAUGCAAAGGUUUAAACUUUUAAGAUUCACCCUGCAGGGUAGUUGGAUGCUGUAUAAUCGAAAAGCGACCAACAUCAAGAAUUAUGACUCCAAGACCGGGUUUGCAUUAAUUCAAUCAGCUGAAAUCAUGAUGCAAAUGACACUAUCAGCUGGACUUAGAGACCAGUCAGAUCAAUCAUCCUUUUAUCAACAGUUAAUGUCAUGAUGGUGGCUAUCGGAGGAAACAAAGGAUGUGUCGGAAUCAAUAUGAACAGUGAGAAGAAUGAGAGGAGCUUUGAUUACAAGUAGGCUCAAUGAACUCAUGCUGGUAAGUGGUAAUUAAAGAAAUUUGUACGCUUAGUAGAGUUUCAAUAUUUUCUGUUUGGGAUAUAGUUGAUAAUUUGAUACUCUGAUUAAGAAGCCUGAUUAUAGUAGCUGACUUUUUUUUUGUGGUUUGCUGUUGUUUAUUCUUUCGAUUAAUUUCAACAUUAGGUUGAUCUGUUGAAGAACAAACUUGGGUUUGAUUAUGCUUUAACUACAAGGAAGAGCCAGGCUUGGAUGCAGGCGUUCAGCUUUUAAUGGGUAAGAACAUAUGUAUGCUUUAACCAUGUUUCUCACUUAUUACAAUGCAUGCAUUGAAGGCAUCUGAGCUGAUCCUGAAAAUGUGAUGGAAAUACUUCUCUGUUUACAUAAAACAGGACAAGAGAUCUCUGAUCAUGCCUGAGAAUUCGUUGCAUUUAAAAUUUCUACCAUUGCCAAAAAUAGAAUAAACUAGGGAUAGAUUAGCUUAAGACUCAAUUUUGAGAAGGAAGUUUGCACAUGCAGCCUAAAAAAUCAUGUCCGUGUUGUAUACUUGUAUGUUUCUUUGGGAAAUGAAAGAUUCUGUGUGUUCUUUUGUUUCAAGUUUGCUGAAAUCACAUUUGUUUUCUUAGAUGCUUUUGGGAAGGUAACAACAUCAAUUUCAUAAAUGCUGGGGUAAGAUGCAUCACGCAGUGCUACUCAACAUGAGAAUUCCCGGCCGCAUUACCUGUAUGUUGAGUGAUCGCACAGUACAACCUUUAGAAGCUUGUAAGGAGUAGACAACUAGAUGCGAAUAGUUUCAAUAUGGAUUCGCAUCAAAUGAUCUCUUGCCAGUGAUUACUAUAACCCCUAUCCCAAAAUUCUUGGCAUUGGUCAUACCAAUAAUGAAGUAUUGUGUACGUUGAAGACAUAGCUCAAGGCCUUGCGAAAGCUCCGUCAGCCUUUGUAUUGGAAAACAGUUGGUUGUAGUUGCUUCUGAGUGAUAUUAUUAAUAGAUACUGUAAAAAUGAACUGUGCCACUCAUUUUCAGAGCCCUGUUAAGAUGUGUUGGUAAUGUGUUUGAAGGUUGUUUGAUUUAUGUUGUAUUCAGCUACAAAUCAAAGAUUCAGAACAUGGUUAUGUUACUGGUUUCCAAAUCAAAAAAAUGCCUUGUGAUGUUAGUGUUCAUUUUUUUCACAGGAGAUCAGGUUCCCUGUUGAUGAAUCAAGAAGGCAAACGCAUCCAUGUCUUAAGUUCAAAUGUGUCUCUUCUAUUUUCUAUUACUGACUCCUUUAUUUUGAUUUCUUCAUUGUAAUGGAAUUGGUUUUUUAUUCCAAAUUAGUCAAAACCUCCUAGAGUCAUUAAGUUCUGUUAGCAUUUGAAGAUAGAACUAGAACUAAAUGAUUGACUGGAUUAAAUUCCGAUAAAGAAUUAAGUUAUAUAUUUAGAGAUAUUAUGUUUUUUUUUUUUUCAUUUGUUCAAUUUGGUUAGUGGUGAUUUCUUAAAGACUCAAUCCAUGUGCGUUUAUGCAUUUUUCUUUUGCCUUAAUUUCUGUUUCUUGGGGAGUUUAUACAGAUUCUUAUUUUAUGCUUCACAUGCCACAUGAAAGAUCGAAGCCUUUUGUGUGAUUAGAACUGACUUGCAUCACAGUAACUUUAAAUCACUGCGACAUUUUUAUAAUAACAGUCUGAGAUCUCCCUGCAGGAUUCAAAGCAUUUUAUUUUAUAUUAAACUCCUUUACGUGGGUUUGGACACUACCACAAGUUCUUUAAAUACUAAAACGAUUUUAAGUCUUUUGUAUCAUCUGAUUUAAAUACAUGAAAGCACUCGUGGCUGCAAAAAUACAGUUGGGGCUAUUUCUAAAGUCUUCAACAGCAUUUUCUUUUUAACCUUUAUCCUCAUGGUUGUUUUUGCAGUUGUUCUUUAAGAAAACAUUUAAAAGGUUCUCUUUAUGGAUUUUUGAAAAUAAUUUUAACAUGAGCAAUUUUCAGAAGCACUUUAGAUGUCUGGCAUUUAGGAAAUUUUAUUUCGGUGUCACAUAAAAUACUUAGGAAGUUAAAUUUAUUUAUUUAUGAGCAUGUGCCAGUGCCCAGUGGCAUCCUCUUCACUUGUGAUAGUCAAAUGUAUUAUACGAUACAAUAUUAGCUUGACUGUAGCACAGAGGAGAAUAGGGUUGGUGUUGGUCUGAACCAGCUUAUGUAACAGCUGCCAAAGGAUAAUUUAAUUGUACUUUGAGUAAAGCUUUUGCGAAUUAAACAAGUGAUAAUUUGUUUUUAUUAAGAAAAACUUAAGGAAUUAGGCUAUUUUAACUGACCAAAUUACACAUUAAAAAUUCAUUUACAAAAAUAGUUUUUAGUUAUUAAAAUAUUCCUAAAUUAAAUUAUAAUUAUGGACACUAAAAUAUUUUUUUUAUAUUUUACUCUUUGAAACUGUCUUUAUAUUCGAUAUUAUAUUUUUUUCUUAAACUCUAAAUUGAUUUUUUUUUUUGAUUAAUUUUAAAACACCUAUAAAGUGAUUCAUAUUGAUUUUAUACUAACAAACUAUUAUAGCACAUUCGAAAAAUAAUUAAAUCGUUCUUAUUUACAUAGUGAAAAUGCAAAUAGCUCGUUCAAAUGUUAAGGAAUUGGAGAGCUGCUGCUGGAGAUGAAAGAUGUGAAUUAAACAUCAGAAAAAAAAUUAUGUUUACUAUCUUGCCAGACCAAGCACCGAAAAGCAUCGUAAAGAAAAAUUAGAUAAUUUAGAAGAUAAAGCACGUGGAAUGGAGGCAGAAAGCAAGUAAUGAUAACUCUUUCGACAAACUAAUAUAUACCAAAAUGCAAUAUCAAAAAUGAAAAUAAAAAUUCAUUACGAAUACGUGUUAAAGAUAUCCCAAGUAUAGAUGUGACUGAAAUAUUUGAGAUUGAAGAAGAAUUAAGACUCAAAAUCAAUUGGGAGGAAUAAAUGAGAAACCUCAAUACCAAAAAAUACACGCGCAAAUCCUAAUACUAAUUGUAAUUGCAGAUAAAUAGCAUAAUACGAAUAAAUUCCAUGGGCAACUAUUUCAUUGAGAAAUUAAUUAAAUCGUGUAUUAAUAUUUUGUAUACAUAUAUUUUUCUAUAUAUGACUUUCGGUAAUUUAAUUUUCCACUUAUCAUUUUUACUCCAAAAAAAUAAUUGAGAAUAUUAUUUAUGUUUUGGUGCAAAAUAUUUGAACAAUAUACAAAUUUUCAGUUUAAUAAAUCUAAACAUCUAUUAAGUUAUAAAUGAAUUUAAUGGGUUUAAUUAAUAAAAUUACUAUUAUUAUAUAAAUUGGAUUUAGUAAUGGUACAUUGGGUGGGUUUGUUGAGUAAAUUUUAAAAUUUUGAAAUUUAAGGAUGGGUUUAUUUAGUAAAUGAGUUAAGGGAGUAGUUUGUUGGGAUUCACAUAACGCCACCAAAUUCAAAUGUAAAAUUUAUGGAAAAAGAAGCUAUUGAGUUAUUCUUUUUAAAAAAAGAAUUAAAAUGUCAAGAAUACCUUUAUUUAAUUUUAUAAUCUUAUUUUAUAGUCAUAUUUUAUUUCCACCUUAACAUAAUUUUAAAAAACCUUAACUAAUAAAUUCUAUAUUUUUUUUAUAAAAGUUAUCAUUAAUAUCCAAACGGCUAAAGAUUUUUUUUUUUAAAAAAAAAGAAACUAUGCUUACAAAAGUUGUAUACAUUAACAAUAAAUUUAGUCCAAAGAAUAAAGUUAUUCCAAACAAGCACUCCUAUUCAUCUUGCUAAUGAAUCAAGAUGACUGAAUCCAUUCUCUAAGCCAAAUCUAUUUUCACUUCUAGGUCAGAAAUUGUCAUUAAAAAAGUGUUUGAUAAAAUAUGCUCUGGGAACACUAAUUCGUCAGAUGGUUACUCCAAGUUUAUGAAAUCAAUGGGGUUUCAUCAUAUUCAUAACAUUCUUCUUUAAUGUCUAUUCUAACAAAGAAAUUACUAGAAAACUUUUACUAGAAAAACUAACCACAAUUCAUCAUUCAUUUAUAUCUUAAGUAAGCGUAAGAUUUUAUCAUUAAAAUCUCAUCAUGAAAAAACUCAUGGGAGAAAAACUAUAAAAAUUGAAGAAAAAAGAGUAUGGCGUGCAUGUAAAUUAUAUCGAUUUUAUCUAUAUGACAAAUAAGACUCUCUUUUACAAUGGCACGGAUGCUUCAUUGAGUAAUCAUGAUUCUUGCUGGUAGUGCUUUGUUGUAUCAAUCUGCUAGCUAUUCAGCUUUCUUUCUUUCUUUCUUCUUUUUAUUUUUUUUGUUUUCAAAUAGCUUGUGGUUGUAGAAAUAUUUCAAUUAAACUAUACUUAAGUACUUAUUUGGUAUAACUUCUUUACUAGCCAAAAGAUUUUUUUUUUGGUUUUUUAUAAUUUAAUUAUACUUUAACUAGAGUUUUUGGGAUUAAACAAGUGAUAAUUUCUCUCUGUUAAGAAAAACUCAAACGGUAGGGUUAUCUCAAUCCACCAAACUAUUUAUUAAAAAUCCACUUAUGAAAAUAAUUUUUAAUUAUUAGAAUGCCUCUAAAUUAAAUUACAAUUAUAGACACUAAAAUAUAGUAAAAAAAAUUUUUUUUUACUCUUUAAAACUGUCUUUACAUUCGAUAUCAUAUCUUUUUCUUAAAAUCUAAAUUGAUUUUUUUUUUAUUAAUCUCAGAACACAUAUGAAGUGAUUCAUAUUGGUUUUAUACUAACAAACUAUCAUAGCACAUUCGAAAAUAAUUAACUCGUUCUUAUUUGCAUAGUGAAAAGGCAAAUAGUUCAUCCAAAUGUUAAAGAAUUGGAGAGCUGCUGCUGGAGAUGAAAGAUGUGAAAAGCAUGGUAAAGAAAAAUUACAUAAUUCUCACUUAGAUGAGGAAGAAAAAAAAAAGAAUACAAUUAGAAUGAGAGGUAGCCAAUAGCCACUAGCCGCCGCCACCGCCACCAGUGAAACUAUUUCACAUAAUAGAAGAUAAAGCACGCGUAAUGGAGGCAAAAAGCAAUUAAUGAUAACUCUUUUCGACACACUAAUACAUAUCAAAAUGCAAUAUCGGUCCUAACAAAAUGAAAAUAAAAAUUCAUUACGAAUAUGCGUUAAACAUAUCCCAAGUAUUGAUGAUGUGAUUGAAAUAUUUGAGAUUGAAGUAUAAAUAAGACUCAAAAUUAAUUGAGAGGAAUAAAUGAGAAACUCUAAUACUAAUAAAAUACAUUCACAAAUCCUAAUGCUAAUUAAAAUCACGGAUUAAAAAAAAUAAUAUGAAUGAAUUACAGGCGCAACUGUUUCAUUAAGAAAUUAAUUAAAUCGUGUAUUAAUAUUUUGUACACAUACAUUUUUCCAUAUAUAACUUUUGGUAAUUUAGUUUUCCACUUAUCAUUUUACUCCAAAAAAAUAAUUGAGAAUAUUAUUUAUGUUUUGGUGCAAAAUAUUUAAACAACGUAUAAAUUUUCAGUUUAAUAAAUCUAAACAUUUCUCAAGUUGUAAAUGAAUUUAAUGGGUUUAGUUAGUAAAAAUGCUAUUAUUAUAUAAAUUGGGUUUAGUAAUGGUAUAUUGGGCAUUUAAAUGGGUUUGUUGAGUAAAUUUUAAAAUUUUAAAAUUUAAGGGUGGGUUUAUUUUAGUAAAUGGGUUAAGGCAGCAAUUUCCCAAACUAAAAUUUUUAGAAAAAGAGGCUAUUUAGUUUUUUUUUUUAAAAAGAAUUAAGAUGUUGAGAAUACCUUUAUUUACUUUUAUAAUCUUAUUUUAAAAAAUUUACCCAAUAAAUUUUAUAAUUUUUUACAAAAAUUAUCAUUAACAUCCAAACAGCUAAAGAUUAAAAAAAAAAAAAAAGAAGGGAACUGUACUAGCAAAAGUUAGAUUAACAAUAAAUUUAGUCCAAAGAAUAAAGUUAUAGCUAAAAAGUGCUCCUAUCCUAUUUUUCUCUAUUUUAACAAUAAUCUUCCAAUCCAUUUUACAAUGGACUUAACAAAUGGGCUCAAUCUCUAAACUUCAUUUUCUUUUGCUAACCCAUGGCCAUUAGCCAGAAAGCCUAAAACAAUUUUAGGAUCACAUGUGUAAAUGGAACUCCAAGAUUGAUCAAGAAUUAACAAGACAAGAUGAAGAGAUGAUCUUGUAACUAAGAAUGAAGAAAUUGAAUCAAGACAGUACUCUAGUAAAACCCAGAAAACAGAGCUUGAAGAAUCACGCACAAAGCAGUAAAUUUGUAAAACCAGAAUUGGAGCUUCACUUCUCAAGAUAGACGAAACAGGAUACAAUCUAGCUUUGGUCAACUUCGUUUGGCCACGUCAUAAAGUCUUCCCCCACAGUCUUUCCCGCCAAAACAGAAAAGCUUUAAAAGCCAUUUACCCUCCUGAGUUACUUGCUCCUAUUACAUCAAGGCCCUGUAAGUCUAUAUUUAUUAUUACAAAAGCACCCUUAAACCGAGAUUUGAGAUAUUUUUUCAAAGAUCGAAGCGCAUGAUUUCACGGCUAUGUUGCAUAGUGAAUUUUAGUGCUUUACAGUUAAGGGAUAGUUUAAAUUCAUUACAAAGCAUUCGCAAAGAAAUUGUUUUUAAAUGAAACUCCUCGUCUUGACCAGAUUAUUUAUUAUUAUUAAAAAAAAAUGUUCAAAACUUAGCCAAAGUGAUAAACUCGUAAUUAUUCUACAAAGGGAACAAUUUUGAACGGUGGGAAAUUCCAUAAUUAUGCUUUUCUGUGAAUUAUUUUAAAUAAAAUUAUAAAAAUUAAUAUAAAAUUAUAAUAAUGAUAGAGCCACAAAUUCUUGUACAAAUUUAUUUUAUACAAACUCAUGUGGCAUGAUAAGAUUGGUUGAAUUAAAUAUUACUUGGCCCACAUGAUUUGUUUUUAUUAUUUUAUAUUUUUAUUCAACCAAUAAAUUAAUACCACGUCAGUUUGUACAAAAUAAAUUUAUACAAAAAUUUGUGACUCGAUCAUCACUCAUAAAAUUAAUACCCGGUAAAGACUGUAGAGAGACAAGUGCCCCCAACAGAAUCAAGUGAAUAUGCCCCACAAAGAUCACAUGAUCAUUUCUGUUCUUUUUCUUUUUGAUAAUUUUAUCUGUGGUUUCAACUUUUAUGCUUUAUUGUCGUAUCCCGUUGAGGGCUCCGCUGCACCCAUUACAACUUACCCCUAAAUUGCCUCUUACUAACUAAACCGUUAGAUUUUAUGGAAGCACGUUCAAUGUUGAAUUUUAAUUAUGUCAUCGAAUUUCGUUUAGCUCCUUAAACUCCAUUUUAUUUGUAAUUUCUUCAUAAAAUAUUCAAAGCUUCAUCAAGCUCCUGAUGGACCAUCAUGGCUAGGGGUGCAUUAGAGCCGAACUGAAAUAUGUUAGUUCAGUUCAGUUUGGUCAGUUUAAAUCGAAUGGUUUAGAAUAUAUAAACUGAUCAAUUUUAAUUUUGAAUUGAACCGAACCGAAAAUCAAUUGGUUCACUAUUAGUAUUUUUGUAUAAACAAGAAUGAUUAGUGAUUAUAAUUAAAUUGGACUAAAAAAAAUUCAAACUAAGGUGAAAAAUAUCAAAUCUUAGACAAUAUAAAAAAAAAUAUUAAAUUUUUUUAACCGAAACGAACCGAAUUAUUUUGACUCAGUUUGGUUCAUAAUUUUUUAAACCAAACUGAUUUAUUCCCACCCCCUAAUCGUGGCUCUCUAUCUUUAGUCAUUCACCCUUGAGUUUGAUGCCAAUUGUUGGGUUUCAAAUGAUUAUACACUCAAAUGGAACCCUCAUAACAAAAAACUAACAGAAACAAUAAGAACACGAUGUUAAAAUCUUAAAUCAAUCGCAACGGUCCUUUUUUUUCCCCAUUCUUGAACCUAAAGUAUUUGAGUAUGCAAAUUAAUAAAUAAAUUCAUUUAUUUUUAUUAAAAUUUUGUAAAAUUAUAAUUUUUAAUAAAAAUAAUUAUUAAAAUUUUGUAAAAUCUAAAUUUAGAAAAAUUCAGUUGGGCACCUCUAUUUGAGAUUUAUUUUUUAUUAAAUUUAGGGAUAUUUUUAUAAUUAUAAUUUUUAAUUUUAAAAGUUUUUAUAAGAUAAAAUAGUCUUUUAAUUUAUUUAGGGGUAAAAUUGAUGUUUUAUUAAAAUUAUUUAAUUGUGUUAAUGCAAAAGUGACUAUUUGAUACAAAUGUGAAAAGAAAGGUGGUGCAAAAUAUAUGUUAAAAUUUUAUAUUGGUUGGAUGAACAUAAGCUAAAAUAAAGGUGGUGCAAUGAUAAUUUCCCUAUCCUAAAACUUAAUUGACUUAAUUCUUAUGGUGCAAGGAAGAGGUUUCCAAGUUUAAAUCUAAAGGCUUGUAUUUAAUUUGGGGUUGGGAAAGCACUGAGAAAUAAAUGUAACUAAGGAAAAAAAAAAAGUCAUGCAGUCCAAAUAAGUAGACAUAUUUAAUAUGAGGUGGGGAUGGGUGAACUGUAAUUCAGAAAAAAUAAAAUAAAAUUUCAUAUAAAGUUGAGGGUGUGUUUUAAUGGUUUCUUAUGCUGCGUUUACUUUUUGGACUAGAGUGAGAAUUCUGAGAAGUGGGAAUCCUGUGAUUAGGUGUGUGGAGUGGGAAUGAGAGUAGGGUAUUUACUUAGACUAAAUAAAAAUAUGGAUUGUCAAUCAGAAUCUCAAUUAUUUGUUACUUUGUCUUGGAUUGAGAGUAAAUUAUUUUAAAUUACAAUUUUAUCCUUAUGUAAAGAAUUAUAAUUUGUAAUUAAAAAAUUAAUAAAAAUAUAUUGGAAAAUAAAAUAAAUAUUUUAUUAUAUUUAUAAAAUAAUAAUAAUUAAUAAAAUUCUUAAUUAUGUAAAUCAUAAUUUUUUAUUAAUUUAAAUUUAAAUUAUGUGAAUAAAAAUUAUUAAUAAUAGCAACACAAAUGAAACAUUAUUAUUGAUAAUAUAGUAUAAAAUUAAUAUUUUUUUAGAAUAAAAUAUUUAUUAUUAUUAAAUAAAUAAAUAAUAUUUAUUAAAAUUAAUGUUUAAUAUUAUUAAUUUAAAUAUAAUAUUUAUUUAUUUUUAUUUUAUUUUAUUAAAUUUAAUAAAAUAAAUAUGUUAUAAUUAUUAUUUUUAAUAAAUAUGACAUUAUUUAUUUUAUUAAAUAUUAUUUAUUUAUUUUAAUUAUGAGGGUAAAAAUAAAAGAGGGGGAGUGGAUUCCCACUCCCACCUCCCCCCAUGGGAGUGGGAAUCCCACUCUCCCCUUAAAAAUGAUAAGUAAACACUAGAAUGGGAAGAAUCCACACUCUACACUUUCUAAAAAAUAAACACUACCUUAAUUUAAAUUGAUUUGUUGGAUAUUUAGCUAAAAUGAGAGUAGCUCUCUAAUAAUUAUUGCAUUAUUACAAACAUAUCCAACGGUUAUAUAUGCUUGCCUGUGGAAAUAAAAGUCCCAAGUUUCUUUGAAAGGUAAGCUAGUGUGAAUGUUUUCAUCCGUGCAACUUACUUGAUGAAUGAAGUUUUCAUCCCUGACCUUGAUGUUUCUGGUGGCUACAAUCAUUUCAGCUGAUCUAUUCCAUUUUGUUAAGGUGAGAAUUUAGAGUGGCUUUAACUGUUAGCAAAUAGCCUAAUGUAAGACUUGAUCAACUUCCUGCCCUGUUGUAUGCUUAUGAAUUUUGAUAGAGUUAUGAGUUUGCAGAAGCUACUGUAUUAUAUGUUGUUAGAGGCUGUAAAAAUGAGGCAGAUCAAACACACAUUUAAAUUUCAAUGACAAUUUACUAGAAGUAAAUUUCCUAUGACCCUCCAGGUGACUAAUCAAUGAGAACUUGACAAUAACAAAAGAAAGUGUAUGAGCUUUGCAGGCGGGCACGCCAAUCUUGACUGCAUGGCACCAUCCGCCAUUUGCAAGUGAAUAUCAUUAUUGUUUAAUCAACAUGGUGGAGUCCACUGGGACCACACCACAUGGUCAGUCUUAUCUCUAUUCCUCAAUUUUCAGUAUUCCAUACAUCAAAACAAUUUCAGUUUUGUUAUCAAUUAUAAUUUCAUUGUUGGAGACGAUUCUGAUUCCUUUCUUUCUGACAAAACGGAACCAUGGUUGCUGUGGGAGAGAUCUUACUCAACGCCUUCUUUCAGGUGUUGUUUGACAGGUUGGCUUCCCGUGAUUUGCUCAGCUUUGUCCGUCAACUUGGAGGCGGGGUCGAUUCCGAGCUCAAGAAGUGGGAAAGAAAGCUGAAGAUGAUUCAGGCGGUGCUCAACGAUGCAGAGGAGAAGCAACAGACUGACGAGGCUGUGAAGAUGUGGCUGGACGAUCUCCAAGACUUGGCUUAUGACACUGAGGACAUUCUUGAUGAGUUUGCUACUCAAGCCUUGGAAAGCAAGUUGAUGGCGCAAAAUCACGAUAGUUCUGGCCAGGUUCUCAGUUUCAUCCCGGCUGGUUUGAAUCCGAAUGCUAUUAUGUUCAAUUAUAGCAUGGGGUCCAAGAUUAAAGAUAUCACUAGCCGGCUGGAGCAACUCUGCCAAGAAAGAAUUGAACUUGGACUGCAACGGAUUACCGGAGAGGCAUCAUCAACUGCUGCUGCUGCUGCACACCAGAGGCCACCCAGUUCGAGUGUCCCAACAGAACGUGAAGUAUUUGGAAGAGAAGAAGAUAAGGCCAAAAUUCUUGAUAUGGUAUUGGCCGAUACCCCAAGUGAUCAUGCAAACUUUGUUGUAAUACCCAUUGUUGGCAUGGGCGGGAUAGGAAAAACAACUCUUGCCCGGGAAGUCUACAAUGACAAGGCCGUUGAAGAUUCCAAGUUUGAUGUAAAAGCAUGGGUUUGCGUAUCUGACGUCUUUGAUGUUUUGGGCAUCUCAAAGGCACUUCUCGAGUCAAUCACCCGCAGGCCUUGUCUUCUAAACAGUUUAAAUGACGUGCAGGUUGAGCUGAAAGCAGCUGUGGAUAAAAAAAGGUUCCUGCUGGUCUUAGAUGAUGUUUGGAACGAGGACUACAGCUUAUGGGUAGACUUAAAAGCUCCGUUACUGGUUGCUGCACCAAACAGCAAGAUGAUCGUCACCACACGCAAUUCAAGUGUUGCAUCAACAAUGAGACCCAUCGAUCGUCACCACACGCAAUUCAAGUAUUACGAUCUCAAGAGUCUGUUAGAUGAUGAUUGCUGGUCCAUUUUCAUAAACCAUGCAUUUGAAUCUACAGACCUUAGCGCACAUCGAAUUUCAGAAUCAUUCCGCGAGAAAGUUGUUGGCAAGUGUGGGGGCUUGCCUCUAGCAGCAAAAACACUCGGGGGCCUUCUUCGUACUAAAACGCAUGCUGAGUGGGACGGUAUAUUGGAUAGCAAAAUAUGGGAUUUACCUCGGCAAAGCAGCAUUCUCCCCGUGUUAAGAUUGAGUUACCAUCAUCUUCCUUCUCAUUUGAAAAGAUGUUUUGCUUUUUGUGCCAUCUUUCCAAAAGAUUAUGCAUUCACUGAGAGGGAGCUGACUUUCUUAUGGAUGGCUGGAGGUAUUAUUCGACAGUCAAGAAACAAUGAGCAGCUGGAAGAUUUGGGCAGCAAGUGCUUUGGUGAUCUAGUGUCGAGGUCAAUUUUUCAACAAACAGCAAUCUCUGAUAGUUCUAAAUUUGUAAUGCACGACCUUAUCCAUGAUCUUGCUCAAUUGGUCUCUGGAGAAACCAUAUUUAGGUUAGAGGAGGCCAAUACUCUGUCAAGAAGAUUUGAAAGGGUUCGCCAUUCCUCCUAUGCCCGUGAUUGGUGUGAUGGUAGAAAUAAGUUGGAGGUUUUCAAUGAAAUUGAACAUCUACGAACAUUCUUGCCAUUUUGCAUAAGAGGUGGCGUUACUUCUGGUUGGAUAACUAGCACGGUUCACUACGAUUUGUUGCCGAAGUUCAAAAGGUUGAGGAUGCUGUCUUUAGAAGGAUACCAUAUUGGUGAGUUACCAAUUCCAUUUGAAGAUUUGAGACUUUUAAGGUUCCUCAACCUUGCUGACACUGACAUAAGAAGUUUACCUGAGUCAACAUGCAAAUUGUUGAACUUGGAAAUUCUGAUAUUAAGAAAUUGUUCCCGUUUGACAAAGCUUCCCCAGAAAAUGAGGAAUUUGAUCAAUUUACGUCAUCUGGAUAUAAGAGGUGCAAAGCAGCUGAAGGAGAUGCCAUUUGGAAUGAAAGAGUUGAAGAAGCUUCAAACGUUGUCCAAUUUUAUUGUAGGCAAGGGUGAAUCUGCAUCUGGUUUGGAAGAUUUAAAAAGUUUAGACCUUCUAUGUGAUGAACUCUGCAUUGCUGGAUUAGAGAAUGUGAAUAGUCCACAGAAUGCAAGAGAAGCCACAUUAUGUGAGAAGCACAAUCUUGAAGCAUUGACCCUAGAAUGGGGGUCUCAAUCUGACAGUCCUCGGGAUGCAGUACUAGAAGAGAAGGUACUUGACACUCUACAGCCUCAUGAACGUAUAAAAGAGCUGGCAAUCAGGAACUAUGGUGGUGCAAGAUUUCCACCUUGGAUCAGAGAUCCUUCGUUUCCCGAGAUGAAGGUCCUUAAAUUGGAGAACUGUGACGAUUGUGAAUAUCUGCCAUCACUUGGCCUGUUGAGUUCACUUAAGCACCUUGCUGUUAAAGGGCUGAAGAAACUAAAAAGCAUAGGGUCUGAGGUUUAUGGGGAGGGUUUGUCAAUGCCUUUUCCAUCAUUGGAGGUUCUAAGUUUUGAGAAUUUGCCUGAAUGGGAGUAUUGGGACACCAAUAUCAGAGGAAAUGUGCUCGUUGAAAUGUUUCCUCGUCUCCAUAAACUUUCCAUUGUGGAAUGUCCCAAACUCUCUGGGGAACUGCCUGAGCUCCUGCCCUCCUUGGAGACACUUGUUGUUAGUAAAUGUGAAAAGUUGGUAGUUCCAUUGUCUCGCUAUCCGAUGCUCUGCAGAUUAGAAGUUGAUGAGUGCAAGGAACUAGCAUGCGGGACUCCAAUUGAUUUUAAGUUGAUAGAGUCUGUGACUAUUUCAAAUAGUUCCUUAGACAUGAAUGGAUGCAAGGGGAUGCUAUACGAUGGUCCAGCUGGCUCUUCACUGCCAAAGCCUAUGAUUACUACAAAUGUUUCGGAGUUUGGAAAAUUAUUGAAGCCUGGAUGUCAAAUAUUAGAAACUUUAGUAAUUGGCAAUUCUGGACGGCUCAAGUCAUGGAGGCAGCAUGGGGAUUUUCUAGAAGAAUAUAUGGUCGCUCACCAAAGGUUUAAGAAACCAGUACAAGGGCUAAAUAUGCUCGCUUCCCCUGAAGAGGUAACAAUUGAAGAAAGUUGUGUGAGUUUUGUUUUGUUUCCAGAGAUCAAUUUCUUUCCCAGAAAUCUGCGCUCUCUUCUAAUUUGCAACAGCACUGCUUUGAAAUCCUUACCCGAGGAAAUGAUGGAAAACAAUUCACAACUGGAAAGGUUGUAUAUCAGAGAUUGCGACUCUCUAACAUUCAUCGCAAGACAGAGGCUACCAGCAUCUGUUAAAAGGCUUGAGAUAGAAAAUUGUGAGAAAUUGCAACGUCUGUUCGAUGAUGAAGAGGAUGCUUCUUCUUCUUCUUCUUCUCCUUCAUCCUCGUCUUCCCCAGUGAUGCUGCAACACCUGAUAAUAGGGAAAUGCCCAAAGCUCACCAGUUUAUUAUCGGGUGUCCAAUUCCUUGAGGCGCUUGAAUUCCUCAAGAUAGAGCAUUGUCCAAAGCUGGAGUCAAUACCGGAUGGCCUGCCCAAUCUUAAAUGUUUACAGAGCAUUUAUUUACUCAAUUGUCCAAGUCUUGUUUCCUUCCCAGAAAGAGGGCUUCCCCACACCAUUUCAUUUGUUUGCAUUUGCGGAUGUGACAAGCUUGAAGCCCUGCCCAAUGACAUGCACAAACUCAACUCUCUUCGACAUUUAAGCAUACAGCUCUGUCCAAAUCUUGUAUCGUUUCCAGAAGAAGGUUUUCCUACCAAUCUAACAUCACUUACAAUUGGAGAUUUCAAAAUGUAUAAGAUACUCGUCCAGUGGGGGUUGCACAGGUUUACCUCUCUUAGACGCCUCUAUAUCGUUGAUUGUGAUGACGAAGCAGAGUAUUUUCCAGACGAGGAUAUAGGAAUGACGCUGCCCACCUCUCUCACUCAACUGGAACUUUCGGGAUUCAAAAAAUUGAUAUCUCUGUCUUCGACGGGUUUUCAGAGCCUCACCUCUCUUCAAAGAUUGCGGAUCUGGGAUUGCCCAAAUCUCACAUCAUUUCCAGAGGUGGGCCUUCCAUCCUCACUUUUGGAAUUACACAUUUACAAAUGUCCAAAGCUUAAAAAAGCGUGCAAAAGAGAUCAAGGAAAAGAGUGGCCCAAAAUUGCUGACAUCCCUUGCGUUGAGAUAGACAAUAAAUUCAUAUACGAUCCAGAAUAAGAGGAGUAGAUUCUACUAUUAAGGUCAGUUGAUUUGUAUUAUCCGCUAUAACAAGCUCCUCCUUUUUUUUUUUUAAAUAAUAAUUUUGCAGUCACUCACGUGAUUCCGUUUUCACAAGUCAGAUUGUAUGUUGAGGCUAUUUGCCUUUUAGUCGCAGAUUAAAUUAUAACACUUAUCUUAAAAUUUAAUACCAUAGACAGAUAGACGAUUUUUUAAUCCAAAGUUUUUUUUAUUCACUUCAGUUAGCAUUUUUUUUUUUCCCCAAAUCAUGCAAGCCGAGAGUUUCAAUCAAGAAUUGGAGCAUGGGAAUGGAAUUUUUGUGAAAACAUAAUGGAUGAACGAACAUUUCAUCUGUGAUCUCAAAGUCAACAGAAUUUUAUUCACUCAAUGACUUUUCAACUGCUGUGGUUAUUUAUGGGUGAAAGAAAGAUAAGGGCAAUUACAAAAAAUUUGCAAAAUUUGUCAAUUUCUUAGAUGGUAGAUAUAUCGACAUUUUAGAUUUCAGAUAUUUGUCACCAAUUUCAUUCCUUUUUUUUUAUUUUUUCAAGCAAGUUUGACUAAUUUUAACCAGAAUUGGAGUAUAAUAUUUUGGAGCAAGCAUACUUGAAAUUUCUGUCUUCAAUAUUUUGAUGCUUUUUUAAUUUUGGAUCUAGUAAAAAUACAUAGCCUUCACCGGCAGGAUUCUAGUCUUGGCUUUCACCUCUCUAACUCAUCCGGCCCCAUUGGGAUUCCAGAAAUUGAAAUUUCUGUCUUCAAGGGGUUUUCAAAGCCUCGCCUCCCUUCGAUUUUUGUGGAUCGGGAAUUGCACAAAUCUUACAUCAUUUCCCGAGGUCGAGGAAAAGAGCGGCCCAAACUUGCUCGCAUCCCUUGGGUUAUGAUAGAUGGAAAAUUCAUAUACGAUCCAGAGUCAGAGGUGUUGAUUCUCUUAUUAAGGUCAGCUGAUUUCUAUUAUCCACUCUGACAAUCUCCUAUUAGUGUUUUUCCCUUUUUUUUUUUCAAAAUUUUGCAGUUCCGUAUAAUUGAAAAUGCCACUCACUUGUUUCCUAUUAGUAUGUUGAGGCUAUUUGCUUUCUAUCGGUGUUUGUUAAGGUAAUUACUCACAGAUGAAAUUAUAACUUUUAUCUUAAAAUUUAUUGCCAUUGACAGAUGGACGAUUUUUAGUCCAAAGUUUUGUUAUUAACUUCAAUCAAAAUUUUAGAUUGCAGAUUUUUGUCAAUUAUUUCAUUUUUUAUUUUUAUUUUAAAGCAGAAUUGGAGUAUAACAUUUGGAGCGCGCAUACUCUGAUGCAUGCAAUUAACUGUUUUUAAUCGUUGGAUUUUGAAAUUAAUGAUGGUAAGAUGUGUACUUAUUUUUUCUUCCGGACAACCUUGCCUUCUUUCUUCGGUAGCAUAUCUAAUGAAUAUUUCUCUGUUUAGUUAAGGAUGAAUGCUUGGAGUGGUCUGAUUCACAACAACACCUCUUCCAGAAAAUAUGAUACAAGGCAAAGCCAUGUUCUGAAGCAGAAAUGAUACAGCAGUUGCGGUACCCGAGGUACCUUUUGCAUUUAACUUGCCUUUAUUUGUUUUGCUUGUGACUUAAGAACACAUCAUUUCCCAGAGAUUUGGAGAAGCAUCUCAAGAUGCUUAACAAACUUGACAAGCUUCAAGAUGCACUUGCUCCCAAGCAUUGAUUCUUCACAAUGGAAAACCUGUGAGUACACUUAUGCCCGCAAUUAUUGUUAAGUGUUUGCAAUUUUGAUGCAGCGAAAUGGUUUGUGGAUGCAAAGCUUUAAAACUGUUAAGAACUACCCUGCAGGCUUGUUGGAUGUUGUAUACUUCAAAAGCCACCAACACCAAGAACUACAACAGCAAGACUAGGUUUGCGUUGCUUCAAUCAGCUGAAAUAAUGAUGCAAAUGACACUAUCAAGCUGGACUUAGAGACUUGUCAGGUCAAUCAUCCAUUUCAUCAACAGUUAAUGUCAUGAUGGUGGCUAUCAGAGGAAACAAAAGAUCUGUUGGAAUCAAUUCAAACAGUGAGAAGCAUGAGAGGAGCAUUGAUUAUAAAUAGGCUCAAUGAGCUCAUGCUGGUAAGUGGUAAUUAAGAAAUUUGUGAGCUUAGUAUAGUUUCAAUUUUUUUCUGUUUGGGAUAUAGUUGAUAAGUUGAUACUCUGAUUAAGAAGCCUGAUUAUAGUAGCUGACUGUGCUAACUGCGUUCUUUUAUUUUUUAUUUUUUUGGUUUGCCGUCGUUUUUUCUUUUGAUUAUUUGUUCAACAUUAGAUUGAUCUGUUGAAGACUACGAGGAAGAUCCAGACUUGGAUGCAGGCGUGCAGCUCGUAAUAGGUGAGAACAAAUGAAUGCUUUAACCAUGUUUCUCACUUAUGACAAUGCACGGAUCAAAGGCAUCUGAGUUGAUCCUGAAAAUGUGAUGGAAAUAGGUCUCUGUUUUCAUAAAACAGAACAAAUAGAGAUCUCUGAUCACGCCUGAGAAUUCAUUGCAUUGAAAUUUCUACCAUUGGCAAACAUAGAAUAAACUGGGGAUACAUUAGCUUUAGACUCUAUUUUGAGGAGGAAGUUUGUACUUGCAGCCUAUAAAAUCAUAUCCCUGUUGUAUGUUUCUUUGGGAAAUGAAAGAUUCUGUGUGUUCUUUUAUUUCAAGUUUGCUGAAAUCACAUUUGUUUUCUAAGAUGCUUUACAGAAGGUACCAACAUCAUUUUCAAAAAUGCUGGGGUAAGAUACAUCGUGCAGUGCUCCUCAACAUGAGAAUUCCUGGCCGCAUUACCCAUAUGUGGAAUGAUCUGAGAGUACAACCGUGAGAAUGUUGUAAGGAGUACACAACCAGAUGUGAGUAGUUUGAAAAUGAAUUCGCAUGGAAUGAUUUCUUGCCAGUGCAGAAAUGGCUUGGUUCAAAAUAUGCUCAGCUUCAUUGACACUCUUCGGUAGGCCUCUCCGUCCUUCCAUUCUUAACUACAAUACUACUCUUGUCUGUCUAGUUAUGGAAUCUCUCUUUUAAUCCUCAAAGUUUGAAUUAUAUUAUAUUGCCUCUGUGUUACCGCAGAAACUGAGUCAGUUGGUGAUCCUUCAAAACAAGAAAAACCAAAAACAGAUACAGCGCGCGAUAAGAUAAUGAGACAGAUGGCUCCCGUUGCUGCAUGCCACUUGCUUGUGUGCGUAUUGGGACCAUCAUCAACAACAUUGACGUAAACCCAGCUCAAGGUGGGAAGCUAGUUCGAGCUGCAGGGACGUUAACCAAGAUUUUGAGAAAGAACCCACUUCAAGGUGUUGCUUAGUUAGGCUACGUUGUGGAAAUGAGAAAGUGAUUGACCCUAGAUGUCGCGCCACCAUUGGUACAGUGUCUAACCCCAGCCAUGGAGCUAAAAAGCUUAGUAAGGCAGGUCAGAGAAGUUGGUUGGGUCGAAGAGCUGUGGUUAGAGGAGUAGCCAUGAUUCCAGUUGAUCACCCUCAUGUUGAACAAAGCAAAAGUAGCGGUAACAAUGGAAGGUGUUCACUCACACCUUGGGGCAAGCCUUGUAAGUCUGGGAAUUAAACUGCAUCUCCUAAGAAGAAAGAGAAAUCAGCUGUCUGAUAAUAUUGUCCUUUUCUGCUAUUUGGUCUUUUUAACAUUGUUACACUGUUUUUACAUCUUUGAGGUUAGUUUUAGACCAAUUUUUAACUGAUCCAUAAUGAAACUGAAGUUUAAUUUUUGAUUAAACUUUCACUGGUUUUACUCUUCUGUCACUUCAAUUUAGCAUUGAUUUAAGAUACUGAAUUCUGUGCUUGGAGCUUGUAAAUUGGAAAGAGAUAUUUUGGGAUAGAAUGUAGAUUUUGUGUUUUGCUUUCUCAAGCUAGUUGUGACUUCUUAAAAGAGUCAAUCCAUGUCUUUAUAUAUUUUUCUUUUGUCUUGAUUCUGUUUCUUCAUACAGAUUCUUAUUUUAUGCUUCACAUACCACAUGAAAGAUGAAAGCCUUUUCUGUGAUUAGAAUUGACUUGCAUUAUAGUAACUUUAAACCACUUGGAUAUUUUUAUAAUAGCAGUCUGAGAUCUCCUUAAAGGAUUCAAAAGCAUCCACUGGCAUCCACUUUACUCGUAUCGGUCAAAAGUUUUGUGCAAUACAAUAUUAGCUUGACUGUAGCGCAGAGGAGAACAGGUUGGUGUUGGUCUGAAUUCUGAUAUUUGAAUAAAUAUAACAGCUCAUGUGACUCCACCACUUUUUACUUGUUCUGUAGUCUGUACCUACCUCCAUUGUCGGCACUGCCCAUACAAGGUCUUUUAGCUUUUUAAAAAGUUUCAUGAUAUUCCAUAGUUCACAUGGAUUUCUACAGUUUGUAGAAAACCUAAUUAGGGCACAUUUAAUUACUAUGCAGAAGAUUCUUUUAUCUUGCUCACCAAUAAUUCUUUGUACUUAUUUGAAAGAUGUGUUUCAAAAAAAUAAAAAAAAACUAUUUGAAAGAUGAGAAAUCCCUUAGCCGAACGACAAACUCAUCUAUCAGUCCUAUCAAAAAAAAAAAAACUCAUGUUUUAGUGGUUUUUUUUUUUCACUUGUAUUCAGUCGCACAAGUGAAGAUUGUGGGCAAUUUUUUCCUUGAGUAAAAUUGGAAUAGAUGUUUUUAUUGACACAAAUUUUUGAGCUAUGUUUGGGAAACCCUUAGACUUAAGACUUUGUUACGAUGAUAUGUAUCUAAGCUUUCAACAGACCGUUGAGGUCUUAUUAUCAAAAUACUAGAAAUUUACAAUUCAAUUUUGGUAAGGACCAAUUUAAUAAUGCUGUAAUUUUUAAAAUAAUUACCGUUAACUGUGUUGUAAAAAUAAUCAAUUAUGAAGAAAAUUAAUUAAACAUUUAGUAAACUUUAUUUUUACAAGUGCUUUGAAUUUUAAAAAUAGUCAUAUGUGUUCAGAAAAUCUCACUUCUAAAAUAGUAUAAGAAUGGAAAAAACUUAAAAAGACAAAUGUAUAAUAUUUAUUUACACAUGCAUUUAUAAAUAUGUGUAUAUAAUAACAUUUUAUGUGUACAUAUAAUAAUUGAUAACUAAAAUAAAUAUUUUUAUUUAUUAAUUAUUUUUUUGUCUCAAUGUAAUUGGUAAUACUUUUUUUUAAUCUUCUCAUCCUAAGUUUUUUUAUUGUUUUGUACAAAAUUCAAGGUUUGGACUUUUAUAAAAUGUCCACUCAAAAAUAAAUUGUUUUCUAACUAAGAUUUGUUGCUAAUGUAUAACUCAAAGUAAUACUAGCUAUUUGUAAUUUUAUUUCAAAAUUUUUAUUCAAAUGAUAUGGUAACUAAUGUACAUUAGUUGAUAGCAAUUUUUUUUUUUUUACAAUAUUCAAAUCAAUCAAUUGCAUCAUCUCAACAUUUUUAUGAUGUCGUGUUAUUUUAAACGAAUUUUUUAUUUUUAUAUAAAAUUUAUUAUGUUUAACAUCAUUUGCAUAACUUGACCUUUUUUUUUUCCUACAAAUAUUAAGUCAAAUUUACUCACCCUAUAUUUCUAUCUAAAAUCUACCUAAAACUCAUGCAUCACUGUAAAACAAAUCCAAAGAUUGCGGUACGUUUUUCUUGGUAACAAAUCAAUAAUUAGGUCAAGUACUACUACUAAGCGUGCUCAAUUAAUUCUAAAAUACUACGGUGAUCAAAAUCAUACUUGACGCAAGAGGAUAAGGGCUAAACCUCAAUUAGGCAUUAUUCAUCCAAAAUUCGUUGACCCGGCAUUCUUUGCAAGUUGUAGCACGGGACAGCUAAGAUUAGCAAAUGCUGUGGACCAUAUGCCCCCAUACAUUUGUGACAUGUGAAACUUGGCAUUAAAGGAAAGGCAACGUGUUAAAAUUUAAUAGCGCCCAAUUCUUCAUUGAAUGAUUAUCAGAUCCAAUGAGCAUCCUUUGAUUGGAUUAUUUUAAGUCAAUUAUUGGUGGAUUGGGGCCCACUUGACUCUAC